rnacentral:lncRNA from 1 species
CAGAGCGGUAGAGCGAGAUGGCCGAACUGAUGGCGAGCGCCGCCACGAGCGUGAUGGGGUCCGUCAUCGGCAAGCUGACUGCCAUGCUCGGCGAGAAGUACCAGCUCGCCAGAGACGUGGAGCAAGGGAUCCGCUUCCUCAAGGAUGAGCUGAGCAGCAUGGAUGCCGUGCUGCAGAAGCUCGCAGACAAGGACGACGACCAAAUGGAUCCAAUGGAUAAAGAUUGGAGGAACAAGGUGCGUGAGCUAUCCUUCGAUAUUGAGGAUUGCGUCGAUCGCUUCAUGCUCAAUCACAGCCAUGGAGGUUCCAAGGCUAACUUUGUUCGCAAAGCCGUGCGUAAGGUGAAGAUGUUGUGGGAGGACCAGGGCAUAGCAGGGGAGAUCCAAAAACUCAAGAUACUCGUGACAGAGCAUAGUGACCGGGCCAAACGCUACCCUGUGGGAAUGCGGUGCGACUCACCUCAGCCGGUGCGCUUGGAUCCUCGAGCAACUGCCCUCUUUCAGGAGGCGAGGGAUCCUGUGGGAAUUGAUGGUCCUCGCGAGGAAAUCAUCCAGUUAUUACAAGUUGAAGAAAAUCAGCACAAGGUGGUGUCCAUCUAUGGUACCGCUGGGCAGGGGAAGACUACUCUAGCCAUGGAGGUAUACCGAAAAAUCACACAAGCAUUUGAUUGCAGGGCUUUCGUGUCUGUAUCUCAGACUCUGGAUAUGAAGAAGCUACUCAGAGAUAUAUUGUCUCAAAUAGUAAGCACGAGCGAGUUUGACCAGUUGCAGUCGGAAAGGUGGGAGACGGAGCAGCUCAUGCGCAAAAUGAGAGACUACUUAAUUGACAAGAGGUAACCAGAAUUACUUUCUUGUACUAUAAUAAUUAGCCAGUUCAUCUAGCUAUGGCAAUGUUGUGAGGUCUUUGUCGAUCACAUGAGCUCACCAAAUUUAUCGGCCAUUUUACGAUUGUAUUUUAGGGACCCAUUCGAGCAUAAAACUACCACGUAUGCAUUUGUUACAUGAUUCCUCAACCAAUGCAUGCAGGUACUUCAUCUUGAUUGAUGAUAUCUGGAAUGUAUCAGAUUGGGAGCAAGUAGAAGCUGCCUUACCUCGCAAAGACAACGGAAGCAGAAUAAUUACUACAACACGUAGUAAAACAGUAGCUGAAACAUGUGCUGGUAUUGAUGCACAAAUGUACAAAGCAAAGCCACUUGGUGAUGACGAAUCUCGCAGAUUAUUCUUUAAAAGGCUAUUUCACUCAACUGAACAUUGUCCCCAAGAUUUGAUGGCAGUAUCCAGUGAUAUUUUGAGGAAAUGUGGGGGAAUACCUUUAGCCAUAAUCAGUAUAGCUGGUUUAUUAGCAAACAGAAGCAAAACCAAGGAAGUCUGGGUCAAUGCAUUGAAGUAUAUUUCUGCUGCAGUUGACAAAGAUUCUCACAUUGAUAAAAUGAAAAGAAUUUUUCUGCUUAGUUACUUUGACCUUCCUCUUUAUCUAAGGAGCUGUAUGUUAUAUCUGAGCGUGUUCCCGGAGGAUUAUGUGAUUGAUUGUAGACAGUUGAUAUUGUUAUGGGUAGCCGAAGGACUGAUUCCUGGACAAGGCAGAGAAAAUAUGGAGCAGCUUGGGAGGAGUUACCUUAAUGAGCUGAUCAAUAGAAGCUUGGUCCAGCCAACCAAGGUUGGGGCAGUUGCCGCAACAGUGAAAGAGUGCAGAGUUCAUGAUGUCAUACUUGAGUUUAUUGUAUCAAAGGCUUUGGAGGACAAUUUUGUUACUAUAUGGAAUCGUAAUGGGUUUUCUGAAAAUUAUUCUUCUAACAAGAUUCGCCGUUUAUCUAUCCAAUAUGGUAUUUCUAUGCGGGCUGAAGAGAUGGUGAAGAUAAAAGAACAGGCAGCUCAUAUUCGAUCAAUCAAUAUUUUUGACCCUAAUUCAGUGCUGCUAAUUAAAAACACCUCUAUGUUUUUAAGUAGCCAAGUCUUGCGAGUGCUGAAUACACAAACUCAGGAGAAGUUACUUGAAGAUUGCUAUCUUGGACAUGUCAAAAGUUUUGGUCAAAUGAAGUACUUGAGGUUAAAAUUUUGGUCAUCAAUAUGGCACUGCAAACUCCCAGAAGAUAUAGAAAAGCUGCAACAUCUUCAGACACUAGAUGUUAGGUGUAGCAGCAUUGAAAAACUACCGGCUAGCAUUACCCAAUUGCAGAGAUUAGUGCGUCUUCUUGUACAUAAUGAGGUAAAACUACCUGAUGGGAUUGGAAAUCUGCAGGCAUUGGAAGAGCUAUCAGUGAUCAAUUUGGAUAUUCAAACUAUCAAGUUUAUCCAAGGGCUCGGCGAUCUGACCAAUCUGAAGGUACUUGGAAUUGAGUGGUGGUACGCUCAUGCAGAAGUACGUCACGUGGACGUGGAAGGCCACAAGGAAGCAUGUAUCUCGUCACUCUCCAAGCUUGUCACAACCCUUCGAGAACUGCGCAUCAUGCAGGAUGCUUAUGACAAACUUUCAUUCAUGGCUUCGUGUGGCUCUACUCCACCACCCCUUCGGAAGCUCAUCAUUCGUGGAUGUGUCCUGCCCCAUCAAAUCAUCAGCUCGCUAGUCAACCUGACCCGCCUCUGUAGUGGACUAGUAAGCCAGGAAGGGAUAAAUAUCCUAGCAAGUUUGCCCAUGCUCCUCUCUAUUACUGUUUGUGUUUCCUUUGCAGAGGGUAAUUCUGGAACCAGGUAUACAAUCAGCAGUCAAGGAUUCCAGCGUUUAGUCAAGUUUAAUUUCAUGUGUGUUGAUGAGGGGGCGUUGGAGUUUGAGCCAGGAGCCAUGCCAUGUGGCUGCAGGCACGGGGUCAGUUCAAUUAUGAGCAAGGCGGCCUGGUCCUUGGGCUGCAGAAUCUGGCAGGCCUCAGACAUGUUGCUCUUCGUAUUGCCAGUUAUCAAGCUACUCCUGACGAGGUGCAGGAUUUGGAGGAUGACAUCAGGGUUGCAGCAGGCGCCCAUCCCAACCGUCCCGUGGUCCAGCUGGUCAAUAAAUUACGUCAAGUUUGUAUGGCUCAAGGGUGCAGCAGGCGCCCACGCGACCAUCCCAUGCUAGAAGCACAAUGACCAAGUAAAUGCAUGGUGUGGAGAAUAAAUAUCAUGAUCAAUGAUGAUCUUUUUUUUUCCUGUUUCAAGAGCAUGUUGGAAUUAAACAAGGUUAAUUUGAUUUGUUUUCAUCUUAGUUUUUGCUUUAUGACAACAUGUGUGUGCAUGCAGAUUGACCUCUCGGAUCUAUUGAGUGCUGAUAUGUGUUUGUAACGACCGACCCCUAAACUUUCCCAGUUAAUCUUGAUCGGAGCCCUUGACCUUAGUUAUCUGUCUUGCUUAACCGUGCCUGAGUGCUCAGUUUUCCGCCGGUCCCGACCCCUGGAUCCGACCCCUUCCCGCUUCGCUCCUCUUUCGACCCCGGCGAGCUCAGCCCGCCGUCGGAUCCUGCUGAUCUUCCUCACCCGUCCGAUCUAUCCACCGGUGGACCCGUGAGAUCUUUUCCAGAUCCUCCGCGACAGCCGCACUCGAGUUGCAUGGCCGCCUCAGAGUCUUCCUGCCGCGUGGCUCGUCUUCUCUGACGCCUGCCGCUCAGUUUUGUCUCUGGCAAGCAACAGAGUGGGUUCCCGCGCCCCCUUUCCCCAAUGGCAGCGGAAGCCCUCUGCACCCCUUUCUGCAGAGCCUCGCCUCCCGCGCCCAUCAUCACACCACCAGAUCCCGGCCCCAGAGCCCGAUGUCGCCCGUCUUUUCCGUCCCUUCAGCCACAGUUGCGCCGCCCGGUCGUCGCUACACGACGAUUCCUCCACCGCCAACCCCGACCGCGGCCGCGACAGUUCCUUUCCCCGCUCUGUCAGAAGCCGCCCGACAAUCUGUUGUUCCGCGCUCUCCCCCGCGCCCGCGUCCGCCUGUCUUCUCACCUGUGCGCCCUCGAUUCUAGCGCCGUUAAACCGGUCGCUUCCAUCACCUCUUCCGCACGACGACGCCCGCUUUCCGCCAAAUCCCAACCACCGGUCUACCCGCUCCUACGCCGCCCUGACGGCAGAGCGCAAUGAUCGCUGGCGUCACCCCCGGAGUUCUGCAGCACCGCCCUCUUUGCUCAAUCACCGCCACGGCAGGGCACUCCAUUGCUUCUCCCCGGCCUUCGCGCCGCUCCCCUUUUCUCUCUCCGCGCCGUUUCCUUUUUCCCUGCUCCAGCAGCUAUAAAAGGAAUGCCCCCGUCGCCGGAGUUUCCCUCCGCCCUUGUUGCCUUCAGCUUUCUCUAGCUCCCUGCUCAAGCUCCUAGCGCCACCCACCCAGUUCUUGAGAAGUUCUUCUCCCAGUUCCUUCUCAGUUUCCUCCAAGUCACCCAGCAGCUUGCUCCUCCGUGCUGCGUAAGAGCUCUCUUGUGAUCCGCAAGAAGCAGCGCCGCCGCCGGAGCAUUGCCGGUCGUAGCCCUUGCUCGAAGCUUUAGUCCCUCCGCCCAAGUUCGCUUCUUCCCGACCCCAAGCUUUCCUUUCAGGAAGAAGGUGAGUUGCCGACCCUAAGUCCGCCUCGCCCGACCCCUCCUAUCCGCCCGACCCCAGUUCCGUCUCGCCCGACCCUAUCUGUUCCGCCGACCCUUAUCCGCCUCGCCCGAGGGCUUGGCUGUGAUCUUUUUCUUCAACUCGAGGGUGUAUGUGUAAAACUUGGGAACCCUGCAACGCUUGCGUCUAAGGACCCCUAUCACAUCCUCUAGUUCAAGGAUCAGACCACUAGUUUCCCUUCCUACCCUUACCUGUUGAUCAUCAUCAGCUCUCUCGAACCUCCACAACCUCCUCCUCCUUGUCGCAAGUUUCUGGGCUCAGGAGAGCCAGUGUUGCUGUUGAAAUAACUGUCUAAGCUAACCCUUGCAUUGCAUUCGUGUAGAGCUGCACCUCGCCGACGGUUUCUACGAGCUUCACCCGGCGCCAGAAGAAGAAGCUGUAGCCGAGCUCCUGCCCUCCGAAGCCGAAGUCGCCCCCGAAGCCGAGCCGUUCCCGUCCUCCUUGCUUGAAGGCAAGCCCCGGUUGCAUGAAAUUCCUAUGUGUUUUACCAGACUUGCGCAUGCCUUCUGUAACAUGCUUGUGCAUUUACGUAUAGGAGUUGUGUGAAACCCUAGAUGCAUGACUUAGGUAACCCAUGAUGUGAGCACUAGCUGUUGGACCGAGUAGCUGCAUUGCUUAACUAGGAGACGGUAAAAGUCGAGUGAUCUCCUGUCACUCGCGAGUUGUAGGAGUUGCCUGAUUUACUCUCCUGUUACAACUAUAAGGACGAUGGAUGGGGCAGGGUUUUGGUAACUUUUUGGUGGUCGGAUGGACGCCCCGUCUGUCUAUGAAAUCUUGCUAAGGCCCGACAGUGGUGGUGUUCGUGAUCAAGUGUUUGAAAGUACUAGCCUCAUACUUAGUAUGGGAUGAGGAAGCCUAGUACCGGAUUGAACCUAGACGUGAGCGGUCGCCCCAUUGUUCUUGGAACGGAGUUUCCCCUGCUGGUUGUCGCACGUGGUGGCAAGCGUGGUCACAGGACGGCAGAGGCCGAGUCUGUGGAACCUUGCACCAAAGGAAAUGGGCCCGACACGGGUUAGGGGAUUGAUGGGGAAGGCCGACACAGGAAGCGACCUCCGGGUGCGCGGAUGUCGUGAGGCUAGGUUCACCAUGCAUGGUUAAAGAACUCGAAUCGAUUCGUCUGCCUCUCACAGCUUGAGAUUGCUUGAUCGCUAUGUCACCCUAAGUAAAUGAGGAAUCUGAUGAUGGCAAUGUUGUUGUUAUAUCUACACAUCUUGUUUGGCUCUAUGAUUGCUUAGAACAGGUUGCACAACCUAGACUGGUAAAUGAACCUAGAACCGGAGCUAAAACUUGAAUUAGGGUUACUUAGUGCUUUUGGAAAACAAACCCCUAACCCAAACAGCUUGCAUGCCUAGAAGGAGGAGUAGUCCUUACUCCUAUCGGUUAAGUCUUGUUGAGCUUAGUAGCUCAGCCUUGUGGUGGCUUCUGUUUUCAGGUGAAGCUGCUGCGUCCGACCCCUCUCUGGUUGGUGCUUGGCCGCCCCAGCUCCCGCCAGGCUGGACGGUCAAGUAGGACCCCUCCUCGGACGGCGAGGAGAGGACUCAGUGAUGUUCUGGCUGGCCUUGCCUGGACAUCCGACCCCGAUGAAGUCUUCCGCUAGUAUUUUUCUCUGUUGUUCUUGAAUUUUGUAAAACUCUGAUGUUGGAUUUUAUGGUUGAACUAAAAUGGGUAAAACUUGCUUAACUCAGUGGACUUGUUGUAUUCUCUGUAACCGCUCACCUUCGUGUGGGUUUGCUAGACUCGAUCCUGUUCAAGUGGUUAAAUCGGAUGAAAUCCGACGGCACUUCGUGUGAGCUCAGUUUAGGCAGGAGUGUCGCAUGUUAGGCGGCUUAACCCUGCUUAACCAAGCUAAUCCGAGGUGGUUCUGCCACAGCUGGUAUCAGAGCCGUGUUUAGCAUUUCAGAGAACCCAAUGAGCCCUAAACACUUCUUUGAAAGGAUAAAAGUUGCAAGAAACUUUUGAAAAUCUCGUACGAUCGUUAAGGAUGACUUAGUGCGAGAGGCCCUAGGGGAUUUUGGGGUUGUUUUAGGUGACUAGUAAGUAUUUGGUUAUUUUGCUAACUCCUCCAGCACUUCGCCACGUCUAUCAUACGUGUGCCGGGUUCCGCAUCGCGAGCAUGCGAGGGUUGAUAGGGAGCUCCAUUCAAGGGACCCUAUCUUCGCGGUUGUUUUCGCCCACGUCUAUUAUACGUGCGCAGGUUCCGUAUGUGUUCCAUACGAAGGUUGGUACGGUUCGAUUCCAACAAACCUAUCGGCACGGUUGUUUCGCCACGUUUGUCAUACGUGUGCCGAUUCCGCAUCACGAGUAUGCGAAGGGUUAUAUGGUUCUAUUCGACAGGAACCUAUUUCCACGGUUGAGUGCUGUCCAUGUAGCCUUAAACGCAUGGGUGCCGUUCCUAUAGUGAAGCGUCCCCACAUAAGUAGAGACUAAAUGUGAUCCAAUUUAUCAGUCCCAGGAGGCUGAUAACACAUUUAUUCAACAGAUAGUUCAGAAACCGUACAGCUCCCGAAGGAGCGGGCGGGCAAGCCACACCCAAAGCAAGACUAAAGCGAUAACAACACAAAUCCAAGUUGCAGUCCAGUCGGACUCCGGGCUGCAAUCGGAGCUAAGCGUCAGCGGAAGCAUCCUGCAAAGGGGCCAACACCGCAGACAGCGUUGGGUGCAGACGCAACCUCCUACUCGAAGUCCUCGACGACAAAGUCCGGAUCCUCCUCUGAAGUAACAACACAAGGGUGAGUACAAAAGUACUCAGCAAGUCCAACCCCAUCCACGGAGGGGGAUACAACAAGAAUAUGCAUAUGAAUAAUCAAGGAAUAAGCUAUGGUUUAUUUGCAGUAAAGCUGAAUUCUUAGACACAUGCGGGGUUCUAUUUCGAAGAGGUUUAAUGAAAACAUUUUAGUGAACAACAUAUCAAGUGGGGUUGAUCCUACACAAAGGAUCCAAGUUUUAUCGCUACCGGACUCCCCGUCCGCCGUAGCGCACGGCACACCUGCCGGACACUUCCAAAAUCCCACACACCCACACACGCGGUAAAAUACCAGUCAUCCCCAAAAGCUAGUUGUGUGACCGAGCCGUAACUCGUCCAAUGCCGUGGACACGGCUACCCGGAUAGGUUUUAACUCUGCAGAGGUUGUACACUUUUCCCACAAGUAGGGUACCGUAUCGCGAUCACCUUAGUGUCGGUACGGAUCCUAACAAAGCCAUUACCCACCUUAGCCAACACUGACUAGUCAACAUGGAAGCGCUCAAGGGGUUAGCAACCCAUCCACGGGGCUGAAACCGGGACCUAAGUCACCAAGAGCUUAGUUCUUUUCCAAGGCCUCCUGUUGCUCACCAGCACACCUGAAGUCUAGCAGUUUAGCUAGUGGGAUUUAUGCUAAGCCGUUGCCCAUACAACGGUCGAGUGGUUGUACGAUGAUGGAAUUAGGCAGGAUGACACAUCAACUCGGUCCUUAGUCAUGACAAGAUGGAUAUCUCCCACUCUGCUCAACCACUGAGGUACGAGCCCAACAACCCGGCGUUCCACACAAGAAACACCCAUCCAUCUCAUCCACCACCUCUCUUUACACCCGAAAACCCAACUCCUCAGUUAAACAUACUCACACAUUAUUUUCUGAGUAAACAGGUGUAGUCAUGUUUGAAUUUGGAUAAUGAGUUCCUAAGCAUUCUAGCAGUAUUUAUCAUCUAAACAGAGCAACUCAUAUUUAGAGAUAAAUAUGGGACAACAAGGAAUAGUCAUAACAAUCAAGGGGUGGCUAUCCAACCAUGUCUUGCGAUAAACAGUAUGCAUGUUAUAAAACAGGCCAAAAGGUUGUGUCUGAAAAACUGAGUAUUAAAUAUGCAUCAAAGGGUGAGAUUGGACUUGCCGUUCUCAAAGCCUUCCGGGAGCUCCUGCUCGCGGUACUGGUCCUCGGGCUCGGGCUCGUGGUCGAACUCCUCCUCGCGCUCCUCCUCGGGUACUCCGCGAUCUACGGCACACACAAACGAGCACACAAUAAAUAAAAAGGAAAAAGAUUUUACCCGUUGAGCUCCGAACAGGAAACAUGAACGGAAAAUAGGUAGACAGGGUAUUUUCAUGGAAUUUUGAUAUGCCUCGGUGGAAACAUAUGAGAGGGGGCCGUGGUCGAAUUUGGGAUUGAUUGGAGGAAAUUUGGCGCAUGAAAUGACGGUUUAAAGGAGUAUUAGGGGCUUUAAAAUGAGGUUUAGGACUGAACCGCGAGAGCAGGGGCCUAUCUGUAAUUAUUUUUGGAAUGGUGGGAGGACCUGUUCGCGAAUCAGGGAAACUAGUGGGUUGGAUCGUGAGGAGAGGGAUUUACCCCUUCUUCUUCCUGGAGACAACAGGAGGUUGAGAGAAGGAUGGCCGUCGGCGCUCUGGUGGUGGUGGUGGAGGAAGGCAAGGUGCUCGUGGUGAGGGUGUGGAGGUGAAGACUCGGCUCCCCCCCUUUUAUAGGCGGCGCCCGGGCGGGCGAGGGCCAAGGUAAUGAUGGCGGCCGGACUUUUGACCGGUGGCGUGCCGGAGUGGUGGAGCUCGUGGAUGGCGUGGCGGCGUGGUCGACGAGGCCACAGGGGCGGCGACCGGUGACCGGCGACACGACGCGACGCACCGAGCCAAGCGCUAGACGCCAAGGCGCGAGCGGGCGUGGCACGAGCGACGUGACGCGGCGCGGGCGCGGCGCGCGGCCCGGCGCGCGUGCGCGGCCCAGCGCCUCGGCGCACGUGCCGCGUGGGCGCCUGGCGCAGUGGGCAGGUGGGGGGGGUUGCCAGGGAAGUAAAAGAGGAGAGAGAGAAAGGGAAAAGGGAGAGGAGGAAGAAAGAGAAGGAAAACGAGAAGGGAAAGAAAGGGGAGAAAAAAGAAAGAAGGAAGAGAAAGAGAGGGAAGGGAGGGGAAAAAGAUGGCGGAAAUUGCGGGAUUCGACUGCGCGCGGUGAUGGACUUGUCGAGCACGCGGCGAAAUUUACGGGGAGUGGAAAAUGGAGGAUUGACGGGCCGGGGCCAGGACGGCGGGUCCGACGGAAGGGAAAGGAUUUGACGGAGCUCGGCGGUAGGAAAAUUUUUGGAAAGUGUUUUUUAACGGGUGAUUUAACUGAGUGUAUUUUACGAGCGUUACAUAUAGUGAGCGGUAAUGUUUGGGAACGCUUUCGUGGGUGCUGGCACGAAAGGUUCGUGUGUGUGUUUUCUACAGGUUGCUAACCGCGUUCGUUAGGAGACGUUACUAGAACCGACUAGUUAAUAUAGGGAGAGACGUAUUGUUGCCUUGUCACCGGCGCUGACCGCGUAAGACCCGAGGUUCGGGCAGUUGUUUUUGGUUAAGAGUACGGUAGGUCGUGCAUGCGUCAUAUCCAAAAAGGUUGUACGGUUUCCUUUCUCAACAGCAACCCUGUUCAGAAGAGUUCUUUUGGAUCUAAGGAUUUCUAGUUUCUCUUGGUUGCUCUCGGUUAAGCCCUUCUGCUUCUUAUCCGACCCCUGAUCCUUGGAGUUAUCUCACGUGGUUUUCGGUUUUCUUGGUUCCAGAUGGCUGUUCCCGGACAUGUUGUUUUUGGAGCGGACGGUACCUUCCAGUCAACGUGCCUGCAUUUCGAGGGGUUUCCCGCGAUUCUGUGGGAUACGCUAAAGUGGUUUGGGUAUCAGUCCCCGCCCCUGUAUGCCGGUCGGUUGUAUAUGGAACAGGGCAUUCAGAUGUGCCAAGUGCAAGCGUUGGUACCACCUCCCCUUGCACGGCCCGACUGGCCCUCCCUUGGCAUAAUAGCCUAUGGUCUCGCUCCGGAAGAUACAUGGGAAUCCGCCGUCCUUCAGUUGCUCACCCAGUUCUGUCAGUUGCAUCCUGUGGAGAUCACGCUAGACCCGAUCGGCCUCUUCCCCGUCAGGAGUCGGCUGGACCCGGCCUGGCUUGACCGCGUCGGGAACAUCGAGGUGUUGGCCACCACCUGCGCCAUGGUCACCAUCUCCACCAACGUCCGGUGCAUGGCCGCUCUCUACCGGUUGAUAGAGCUUCAAGGAAGAGCCAUGACUCUCUUCGCCCGGACGGCUGCAGAUACCCACGGUUGCCUCCAGGCAGCAAGAAGAGACCUGGUAGGCCAAACCUACCAGCUGAUCCAGCGUGGUGUCCAGAUCCACGAUAUGCAAGAUCGGAUCUCCGAGCUAGAAGGAGAAGUUGCCGACCUCGUGGACGGCAUGAUAGAGCUCUCGGAGGAAAAGAUGGAGGUGGAAAUGGAGUUGGCAGUCGCCAAUGCCCACCUGGAGGAGCACCAAGCUGAGCUCGAGGAUAUGCAUGCCCUCAACAUGCAGCUCGAAGCUCAGGAGGACCCUGAGGAAGACGAGGGAGCGUCCAGCAUGGAUAUAGAGGAAGAUGGCGCCCCUUCUCCGACUCAUAGUGUCCAGUGGUAGCUUAGGGGUUCUCAGGGAACCUUCUUUCUUUUUGUUGUACUCCUCGGCAGCCUAGAUUUUGGAAAAGUUGUAAUAGGUUAGCCUCGAGUUGAGUACUCCCUGUGUUGACACGCCGUUGUGUAUAAAGUUAACCCUGGUGCAUAGCUUUCUCAUCUCUGUAUGGUGUGGAUGCUAGGUUGAGUAAGUUGCGCCGUGACCUUAUGAUGUGUUCGGAGAACCUGUUCUUGGGCCGACCCCGGCUUGUGAAACCGAGUGCGCCGACCUUUGAGGCAGUUUCUGUCUUGUCCGACCCUUUUCGAGUACGGACCGUGUCCGACCCCUUGGUUUGAGAGGAUCAGAUCCUAGGAGUCUGUAGGUGGCAUGUGUGCCUGAGGUGGAGUACCAGGACAAGUAGAGGUUAUCUAUGCUGAGAAUGGGAGGAAUGUGCUUCCUCUAUGAGGACGUGUGAUGCACCAUUGGCAAGAGUCGCAUUAAGGGAUUUAAUUCAUAUGUUCCAUUUGUUGGAGUACACCUAAGGUUAUGAAAUUAAUGGGGCGUUAACUCUUGCAGAUGGCGCACCGCACUAGGUCUGGAUCUGUGCCCAGUGGUAGUGAUCAGCAACAGGAUCUUCCCCCGCCCCCGCCCCCAUCGCCAUUGGAGGCAAUCUUAGCAACUCAAACUGAGCUGCUAAGGCAUCUGGUGCAAGGACAACACCAUCAGCCACAUGGUGGAAGAGCACAGCCGCAGCCGCAUAUCGCACGAUAUGAGGACUUUCUGGGGACACAGCCCCCGCUGUUCCAGAAGACACAAGAACCGCUCGAUGCUGACGCAUGGGUUCGUACGAUCGAAUCCAAGUUCGAGCUCCUCACCGCUCCAUGCCCCGAUAACAACAAGGCGCGGUUCGCAGCUCAGCAGCUGCGUGGCUCCGCACGGCUUUGGUGGGACCACUACCAUGCCAUGCUACCUGCUGGCCACGUGGUCAGUUGGAACGAGUUCAAGACGGCGUUUAAGGCGCAUCACAUUCCCUUAGUUCUCCUGGAGCGCAAGCUCAACGAGUUUCUGGCCCUCACCCAAGGAACUCGGGAUGUGCUGCAUUACGCCCAAGCUUUCAAUGACCUAUGCCGUUAUGCUGGCUAUCAUGCGGACACCGACGAGAAGAAGCGGGACAGGUUCCACCGAGGACUGAGCUUGGAGCUCAGGGAAAGGCUGAACCCCAUCAGGGUGGACACCUAUAACGAGUUGGUCAACCUGGCCAUCUCUCAGGAGGACUGCAUGCAGGCUCUCAAGGCCGACCAGAAGAGGAAAGCCUCUGUGGCAUUUCCGAGUCCACCGACUCGAAGGUUCCGGAUGAUCCCUCCACAAGCCCCUGGCCGACCCCAGCAGUCAGGGAAAUGGAUCGCCCGACCCCCGCCGGCAACAACGCCUCGUUUUCCAGGCUUCCAGCCGCAAGUGCCCCGGCCGACCCUGCCAACGCCACCUCGCCCGGCAGCCAGUAAUCGAUGUUUUACCUGCGGCAAUGAAGGACAUUUUGCAAAGGACUGCCCCAGGAACAAGAAUCAGCAGCAAGGCCAGAACCCCAUGGCAGCCAGAGGAAGAAGGCCCAAGGUGCAAGUCCGACAAGGCCAACUCAACUACACCAGCUUAACCGAUCUCCCUAAAGGUGCGCCAGUAAUGACGGGUACUUUCCUUGUUUUAAAUCAAGCUGUUGUUGUGUUGUUUGAUUCGGGAGCCUCUCAUAGCUUUAUCGGGAGUAAGGCAAGGGAAAGAUGUGGGCUAAGUGUCGGUCACACUAAGGAACCCUAUGUGAUCGCCACUCCUGGAGGAAGGAUAACGUCGGAUCAGGUCGUUAUUCUUGUACCUCUCCAGCUAGGUCCCACCCUCUUCAAGUAAAACCUUAUCAUCCUUGACCUAGAAGGCCUAGAUGUCAUCCUUGGCAUGGAUUGGAUGGCCCGACAUCAUGUUGUUCUAGAUACAUCAGCCCGAUCUCUUUACAUCAGCUUACCCUUCCAUGGCAGUUCUACCCUAUCCUUGACCCAUCCUGCGUCUCCGACUCCUUGUGCCUACCCUCUCUUGGGAGCCCGUCUAGAAAACCUCCCUGUUAUCUGUGAGUACCCUGAUGUGUUUCCAGAAGAUUUGCCGGGUAUGCCACCUGAUAGAGAAGUUGAGUUUUCCAUAGAGUUGGUUCCUGGCACAGCCCCGAUAUCUAAGAGACCCUAUCGGAUGCCACCCGCUGAGUUAGCCGUGUUGAAGACCCAGUUGCAUGAUCUGUUGGAAAAGGGCUUCAUUCGACCCAGUACAUCAUCUUGGGGUUGCCCCGCCCUGUUUGUGAAGAAGAAAGAUGGCAGUCUACGUAUGUGUGUGGAUUACCAACCCCUCAAUGCGGUAACAGUCAAGAACAAGUACCCACUGCCACGCAUUGAUGUCUUGUUUGAUCAGUUAACCGGAGCAAAAGUGUUCUCCAAGAUCGAUCUUCGUUCUGGUUAUCACCAAAUAAAGAUUCGACCUUGCGACAUACCCAAGACAGCUUUCUCUACCAGAUAUGGACUGUACGAGUACCUAGUCAUGUCCUUUGGACUCACCAAUGCACCCGCUUAUUUCAUGUACCUUAUGAACUCGGUGUUUAUGCCCGAGCUGGACAAGUUUGUAGUGGUGUUCAUUGAUGAUAUCCUAGUGUACUCGAAGAACGAGGAAGAGCAUGCCAACCAUCUUCAUAUAGUUCUCCAACGGCUGAGAGAUCACCAGCUUUAUGCAAAGUUCUCCAAGUGUGAGUUUUGGUUAGAUAGUGUCAAGUUUUUGGGACACACUAUCUCCAAGGACGGUAUCGCCGUGGACCCCAGUAAGGUGCAAGAAGUCAUGGAAUGGAAGUCUCCUGCCUCAGUCCACCAAAUCAGGAGUUUCCUUGGACUGGCAGGUUACUAUCGGCGUUUCAUACCGGAUUUCUCCAAGAUAGCUAAGCCGAUGACUGAGUUGCUGAAGAAAGAGGUCAAAUUUGUGUGGGAUACCAAGUGUGAAGAGGCCUUCAAGACCCUGAAGCACUUGCUGACCACCGCCCCAGUUUUGGCUCAACCCGACCCCUCUAGGCCGUAUGACGUAUACUGUGACGCCUCUGGUACUGGACUCGGAUGUGUUCUUAUGCAAGACAGCCGAGUCAUUGCCUAUGCCUCACGUGCGUUACGACCUCAUGAGCUAAACUACCCGACCCAUGACCUCGAGUUGGCAGCAGUGAUACAUGCCUUGAAGAUAUGGAGGCACUACCUAAUGGGAGCUCACUGCAACAUCUACACCGACCACAAGAGCCUCAAGUACAUCUUCACUCAAGCCGACCUCAACAUGCGUCAGAGAAGAUGGCUGGAGUUGAUAAAGGAUUAUGAGUUGGAAGUGCACUAUCAUCCUGGCAAGGCCAAUGUGGUAGCCGAUGCCCUCAGUCGUAAACCCCAUUGCAACUGCUUGUUGUCAACAGCCUUCACCAACACUCUGUGUCACGAGAUGGGAAAACUAAGUCUGGAGAUUGUUCCCCAUGGAACCCUUGAUCACAUCAUCCUUAACUCAGUUUUGGUGGACCAAAUUCGGUCAGCACAAGCUAAGGAUGAAGAAAUAAAACGGAUCCUCAGUAAGAUCUUAGUAAAGGAUGAAGGAUAUAAGCAUUUCCGUCAGGACCAAACGGGAGGUGUGUAUUAUGGAAACCGACUAGUAGUGCCCGCCGACCCUGAGUUGAGGAAGCAAAUCCUAGAUGAAGCUCAUCUUUCCAAGUUCUCAAUCCAUCCUGGCAGCAAUAAGAUGUACCAUGAUCUCCGUCAAACCUUUUGGUGGAGUGGAAUGAAACCAGAGAUAGCUCGUUAUGUUUCAGAAUGUGACACCUGUCAAUGUGUCAAGGCCAGUCACUUGAAGGUAGCAGGAACCUUGCAGCCGCUACCUAUUCCCUCUUGGAAAUGGGAAGACAUCAGCAUGGACUUCAUAGUUGGAUUACCCCUUACAACUCAACGGUAUGAUUCCAUCUGGGUUAUAGUGGACCGUUUGACCAAGACCGCCCACUUCCUUCCUGUUCGUACCACCUACAUAGUCAAGCAAUAUGCAGAGUUGUACCUCGACCGUAUCGUUUCCCUACAUGGUGUACCCAAGACCAUCAUCUCUGAUCGAGGAGUUCAGUUUGUGGCCCAUUUUUGGGAGCAAUUACAAGCAUCUAUGGGCACCAAGCUCAUCCGAAGCUCAACAUAUCAUCCUCAAACCGAUGGCCAAACCGAGAGAGUCAACCAGAUCCUUGAAGACAUGCUAAGAGCCUGUGUUAUCCACUAUGAUAAAAACUGGGACAAGUGCCUGCCCUUAGCAGAAUUCUCCUACAAUAACAGCUAUCAGACCAGUUUGAAGAUGGCACCGUUUGAGGCCCUAUAUGGCCGGAGAUGCAGGACACCCUUGAACUGGUCCCAACCAGGAGAAAGACAGGUUUAUGGCCCUGACUUAGUGGCAGAAGCCGAAGAGCAAGUGAAGGUAAUUCAAGCGAAUCUCAAGGCCACCCAAUCCCGACAGAAGAGUUACUCCGACCAGAGGAGAAGACCCCUGCAGUUCGACCUGGGUGAUCAUGUGUACCUUCGAGUCUCCCCGACCAAAGGAGUGCAACGGUUUGGAAUAAAAGGCAAGUUAGCUCCCCGCUAUGUUGGCCCUUAUGAGAUUGUGGAGAGAUGUGGACCCGUUGCUUACCGGAUCCAACUCCCAGAACAGCUAUCAGCCAUACAUGAUGUUUUCCAUGUGUCUCAACUGAAGAAAUGUGUCCGAGUUCCAGCAGAGAUCUUAGAACAAGAACAGCUUCAGGUAGAGCCUGACCUGACCUACGCCGAGUACCCAGAUCGAGUUCUUGACCAAAAGGAAAGGCACACCCGACGCCGAGCGGUAAAGAUGUACAAGAUCCUCUGGAGAAACCACACCGAAGACGAAGCAACAUGGGAAACGGACGAAUAUCUGAACAAGCGUUUCCCAGGUUUUCUGUCCCAUCAAGUAGGUAAGAACAUCACACCCUUUGAUCUUUGAAUCUCGGGACGAGAUUCUUUUUAAGAGGGGUAGGCUGUAACGACCGACCCCUAAACUUUCCCAGUUAAUUUUGAUCGGAGCCCUUGACCUUAGUUAUCUGUCUUGCUUAACCGUGCCUGAGUGCUUAGUUUUCCACCAGUCCCGACCCCUGGAUCCGACCCCUUCCCGCUUCGCUCCUCUUCCGACCCCGGCGAGCUCAGCCCACCGUCGGAUCCUGCUGAUCUUCCUCACCCGUCCGAUCUAUCCACCGGUGGACCCGUGAGAUCUUUUCCAGAUCCUCCGCGACAGCCGCACUCGAGUUGCAUGGCCGCCUCAGAGUCUUCCUGCCACGUGGCUCGUCUUCUCCGACGCCUGCCGCUCAGUUUUGUCUCUGGCAAGCAACAGAGUGGGUUCCCGCGCCCCCUUUCCCCAAUGGCAGCGGAAGCCCUCUGCACCCCUUUCUGCAGAGCCUCGCCUCCCGCGCCCAUCAUCACGCCACCAGAUCCCGGCCCCAGAGCCUGAUGUUGCCCGUCUUUUCCGUCCCUUCAGCCACAGUUGCGCCGCCCGGUCGUCGCUACACGACGAUUCCUCCACCGCCAACCCCGACAGUUCCUUUCCCCGCUCUGUCAGAAGCCGCCCAACAAUCUGUUGUUCCGCGCUCUCCCCCACGCCCGCAUCCGCCUGUCUUCUCACCUGUGCGCCCUCGAUUCUAGCGCCGUUAAACCGGUCGCUUCCAUCACCUCUUCCGCACGACGACGCCCGCUUUCCGCCAAAUCCCAACCACCGGUCUACCCGCUCCUACGCCGCCCUGACGGCAGAGCGCAAUGAUCGCUGGCGUCACCCCCGGAGUUCUGCAGCACCGCCCUCUUUGCUCAAUCACCGCCACGGCAGGGCACUCCAUUGCUUCUCCCCGGCCUUCGCGCCGCUCCCCUUUUCUCUCUCCGCGCCGUUUCCUUUUUCCCUGCUCCAGCAGCUAUAAAAGGAAUGCCCCCGUCGCCGGAGUUUCCCUCCGCCCUUGUUGCCUUCAGCUUUCUCUAGCUCCCUGCUCAAGCUCCUAGCGCCACCCACCCAGUUCUUGAGAAGUUCUUCUCCCAGUUCCUUCUCAGUUUCCUCCAAGUCACCCAGCAGCUUGCUCCUCCGUGCUGCGUAAGAGCUCUCUUGUGAUCCGCAAGAAGCAGCGCCGCCGCCGGAGCAUUGCCGGUCGUAGCCCUUGCUCGAAGCUUUAGUCCCUCCGCCCAAGUUCGCUUCUUCCCGACCCCAAGCUUUCCUUUCAGGAAGAAGGUGAGUUGCCGACCCUAAGUCCGCCUCGCCCGACCCCUCCUAUUCGCCCGACCCCAGUUCCGUCUCGCCCGACCCUGUCUGUUCCGCCGACCCUUAUCCGCCUCGCCCGAGGGCUUGGCUGUGAUCUUUUUCUUCAACUCGAGGGUGUAUGUGUAAAACUUGGGAACCCUGCAACGCUUGCGUCUAAGGACCCCUAGUUUAUCACAUCCUCUAGUUCAAGGAUCAGACCACUAGUUUCCCUUUCUACCCCUUACCUGUUGAUCAUCAUCAGCUCUCUCGAACCUCCACAACCUCCUCCUCCUUGUCGCAAGUUUCUGGGCUCAGGAGAGCCAGUGUUGCUGUUGAAAUAACUGUCUAAGCUAACCCUUGCAUUGCAUUCGUGUAGAGCUGCACCUCGCCGACGGUUUCUACGAGCUUCACCCGGCACCAGAAGAAGAAGCUGUAGCCGAGCUCCUGCCCUCCGAAGCCGAAGUCGCCCCCGAAGCCGAGCCGUUCCCGUCCUCCUUGCUUGAAGGCAAGCCCCGGUUGCAUGAAAUUCCUAUGUGUUUUACCAGACUUGCGCAUGCCUUCUGUAACAUGCUUGUGCAUUUACGUAUAGGAGUUGUGUGAAACCCUAGAUGCAUGACUUAGGUAACCCAUGAUGUGAGCACUAGCUGUUGGACCGAGUAGCUGCAUUGCUUAACUAGGAGACGGUAAAAGUCGAGUGAUCUCCUGUCACUCGCGAGUUGUAGGAGUUGCCUGAUUUACUCUCCUGUUACAACUAUAAGGACGAUGGACGGGGCAGGGUUUUGGUAACUUUUUGGUGGUCGGAUGGACGCCCCGUCUGUCUAUGAAAUCUUGCUAAGGCCCGACAGUGGUGGUGUUCGUGAUCAAGUGUUUGAAAGUACUAGCCUCAUACUUAGUAUGGGAUGAGGAAGCCUAGUACCGGAUUGAACCUAGACGUGAGCGGUCGCCCCAUUGUUCUUGGAAUGGAGUUUCCCCUACUGGUUGUCGCACGUGGUGGCAAGCGUGGUCACAGGACGGCAGAGGCCGAGUCUGUGGAACCUUGCACCAAAGGAAAUGGGCCCGACACGGGUUAGGGGAUUGAUGGGGAAGGCCGACACAGGAAGCGACCUCCGGGUGCGCGGAUGUCGUGAGGCUAGGUUCACCAUGCAUGGUUAAAGAACUCGAAUCGAUUCGUCUGCCUCUCACAGCUUGAGAUUGCUUGAUCGCUAUGUCACCCUGAGUAAAUGAGGAAUCUGAUGAUGGCAAUGUUGUUGUUAUAUCUACACAUCUUGUUUGGCUCUAUGAUUGCUUAGAACAGGUUGCACAACCUAGACUGGUAAAUGAACCUAGAACCGGAGCUAAAACUUGAAUUAGGGUUACUUAGUGCUUUUGGCAAACAAACCCCUCAGCCAAACAGCUUGCAUGCCUAGAAGGAGGAGUAGUCCUUACUCCUAUCGGUUAAGUCUUGUUGAGCUUAGUAGCUCAGCCUUGUGGUGGCUUCUGUUUUCAGGUGAAGCUGCUGCGUCCGACCCCUCUCUGGUUGGUGCUUGGCCGCCCCAGCUCCCGCCAGGCUGGACGGUCGAGUGGGACCCCUCCUCGGACGGCAAGGAGAGGACUCAGUGAUGUUCUGGCUGGCCUUGCCCGGACAUCCGACCCCGACGAAGUCUUCCGCUAGUAUUUUUCUCUGUUGUUCUUGAAUUUUGUAAAACUCUGAUGUUGGAUUUUAUGGUUGAACUAAAAUGGGUAAAACUUGCUUAACUCAGUGGACUUGUUGUAUUCUCUGUAACCGCUCACCUUCGUGUGGGUUUGCUAGACUCGAUCCUGUUCAAGUGGUUAAAUCGGAUGAAAUCCGACGGCACUUCGUGUGAGCUCGGUUUAGGCAGGAGUGUCGCAUGUUAGGCGGCUUAACCCUGCUUAACCAAGCUAAUCCGAGGUGGUUCCGCCACAGUGUUGCUUGAUGGUGUUGUGUCAAGGUGGGUUUGGGAUGUGUGCUUGGAGCGAAGGUCUUUGCCCUUCGCCGGACAACGAUGAUGGUGACGCCUGUUGGUGCCACAUCCCUCUCUAUUGACAACUAUGGAUUGUAGGUUGCUGGGUAAUUUUGAGACGUAUGUUGAGUUUAAGAUCUUAUGUCGUUGUUUAUCACUUACUGGAUCUCUUUCUUCUUUCUUUCUUUAAUUCUUUUAUAUUUCCUUUUUUGACAAGGUUGUGUGUUGUUGCAUAUGCGGCUGGAAUCUAAGCUUUCUUCAUCCAAAAGAAGAUUAUAUAAAACAACCAGAAAGAAAUAAAGGGGGGCGGUUAAUCUCCUUCCCAAGGGGAUUGGAGGGGAUUUUGACUGGUAGGGGAUGUUUUGCAGGAGGAUGUGCACCUCAACAUAAGUAACAUAGAAUCUGUGGGUACACUUUUGACAACAUACCUUAAAACCACAUUGUAUGCAACAAUAACCUUGUGCAAACCAUAUAUAGCUAUGCCCACCAUUUUAUAGAACAAUGUUCAAUAGACUACCAUAUGCAUAUGGGCGUGCACGAUGGAUAUUAGACACAGAACAUAGUAGUAGUAGUAUAACUUGCACAAAACUACAUGCAUGAUCUUUUAUAUUUGAGCCAGCAAGUUCUUUCAAAAGAUAACCCACAAGAAAGCACGCACUGGUCUUCUUGUGCACUAUACGUUGGGUGUUGCAAUUGCUUAUAAUAAUCUCUUUUAUUUGUUCAGUUUGAACAACCGUGGCUAGGCACUUCCUAAAGUCUUCACUUCAAGUACUUGUCAAACCAGUCGAUCAUUAGGUCAAGAGCUUGCUCAGCAGUUUUGACAGCAAAAGGGUCGGUGGUAUUAUAUCUACAAGCAAAUCCAUGUGUAGUUCCUGGAAAGAUCUUGGCGUAGUAGGGAAUCUGCAAACAACCAUGCCACAAAAAUGAGCUUUUCUAACUGAUAUAUAGUAUCCUCUAUGACGGAAUCACUAGGAAUGCAGCUCUUCUUCUUCUUAAUAUAAAGAUACGCAGCUCUCCUGCGUAUUCUUGAAAAAAGGAAUCACUAGGAACUCACCUCUGUUCUAUGACGCAGUACACUCACAUACUUGUACACUAGUUCCGGCGGUGCCUCUGAGUCAUUUUGAGCUCCAAGGAUCUCGAUUGGACAUUUAACCUCUGUUUUGAAUAAUGAUCAUAUAGUUAGCAUAUAUAUGAAAUUAAGCAUUUAAAAGUUCAGUUCCAAAGACAUCUCAAUCGAUCGAUGCUGUCUGGGAGCUAGGUUGCAAACACAAAGAAAAGGAGCUAGCAAACCUUUCAUGUCAUCAGUAGUCACAAUGUAAGGAUGAGGUAUGGAAACUACUUUAACAUCACUGGUCUUCCCCAUCUCCACACUGAACUUUCCUGUCAGAUACUCGGCAAUAGAAGAUAAGAAUUGUAUGUUCUAUGUGUUGCCUGAAGAAGGAUUUUGGAAGCUGGAAUUUCACUCACCACCCCAGGAAUAACCUCCCGCCCCGAUGGACUUUCCUUCCUUUUCUAAAGCAGCAAAGAGUGGCUUGGCGUCUUUGGCAGCUUUCACCUGCCAGAUCGAUCGGAUACUCAUCAAAUCAAUAUAGUUUUCAACUAGGCUUUGGCUUGGCUAUCGAUCAUGGCCAACCCAAUUGGCCAUGAUUGGGUCACGACCAUGGCAGUAAGAUAUAUUAUUGACCACCUAAACCAAUUAUUUUCUCGACCACCUAACCCAAUUGUUGUCUCUUGCACUGUAUCUUUACAAAGCACUUUCUCGGGUCGUUCCCAUCGGCCAUCUACGACUGUGACGCCCUGAGAAUUGAAGCGCCCUUCCUCUCUAACACCACCACAACUGCUGGCCGAAUCGAUGGCGAGCGCCGCCACGAGCGUGAUGGGGUCCGUCAUCGGCAAGCUGACUGCCAUGCUCGGCGACAAGUACCAGCUGGCCAGAGACGUGGACCAAGGGAUCCAAUUCCUCAAGGAUGAGCUGAACACCAUUGAUGUCGUGCUGCAGAAGCUCGCAGACAAGGAAGACGACCAAAUGGAUCCAAUGGCUAAAGAUUGGAGGAACAAGGUGCGUGAGCUAUCCUUCGAUAUUGAGGAUUGCAUCGACCGCUUCAUGCUCAAUCACAGCCAUGGAGGUUCCAAUGCUAACUUCAUCGACCGCUUCAUGCGUAAGGUGGAGAUGUUGUGGAAGGACCAGGGCACAGCAGGGGAGAUCCAAAAACUCGAGAUACUCGUGAGAGAGCAGAGUGAGCGGGCAAAACGCUACCGCGUCGAUCCUCUCGCCGCCUCACCUCAGCCGGUGCGCUUGGAUCCUCGAGCAACUGCCCUCUUUCAGGAGGCGAGGGAUCCUGUGGGAAUUGAUGGUCCUCGCGAGGAAAUCAUCCAGCUAUUACAAGUUGAAGAAAAUCAGCACAAGGUGGUGUCCAUCUAUGGUACCGCUGGGCAGGGGAAGACUACUCUAGCCAUGGAGGUAUACCGAAAAAUCACAGGAGCAUUUGAUUGCAGGGCUUUCGUGUCUGUCUCUCAGACUCUGGAUAUGAAGAAUCUACUCAGAGAGAACUUUUUUUUAUUUUUAACCCUUUUUUUUCUUUAUUUUUAAAAAUAACCUCACCCGGGUUUAAUUUGCGCGGCGUGACCCUUUUGACCGCGCCAGACCGCCUGGUGCGGCAGGAACACGCUGCCGCGCCGCAUGCACUGGCGCGGCGGCCCCUGCCACGCUGGCGCGGCGAGUCGCGGCGCCAGGUGGGCGCUGACGUGGGCGGGGCGUUCGCCGCGCCAGCCCGCCUGGCGCGGCAGAGCCAGCACUAGAUCGACGCGCCGGCUCCCUUCCUCCUCCCUCCCUCCUUUCUUCCUCCUCCAGACACACCCGAGCCCAAGCUUGCAGCGCCGCCCCCCGCCGCCCCACCCCCAAAUCCACCCAAAAUCCGGCGUUUUUGGUGGGGGAAAGUAGUGGAAAUCGAUCCUUGCUUCGUGUGGAAGGUAUUCCCCUACUUAUUCUCGUGUUUUACCAUUGCAUUUGGUAGAUCGGAGGAUGUUUAGGUGACUUAGGGUUAGGUUAGUGAAGCGUCCCCACAUAAGUAGAGACUAAAUGUGAUACAAAUAUCAGUCCCAGGAGGCUGAUAGCACAUUUAUUCGACAGAUAAUUCAGUUACCGUACAACUCCUGAGGGAGUGGGCGUGAGAGCCACGCAGCGAUAAACAGUAAAUAAAUAACGGCGGCUAACCAAGCGACUGCCAAAAGACAGCACUCGGGACUACACGGCAGCAGCAGCAUCUUGGAAAGGCCAACACCACAGGCAGCGUCGGGUGCGGACACAACCUCUACUCAAGGUCCUCAACGACGAAGUCCGGGUCUUCCUCUGUAGCAACAAAGCAAGGGUGAGUACAAACGUACUCAACAAGUCCAACCCCAUCCACGGAGGGGGAUACAAGUAUAUGCACAGGUCACAACAAGGAUAGGCUAGAGUUUAUUUGCGGUAAAGCCAAAUUUUAACACAUGCAGGGGAUCGUUUUCGAAAGGGUUUUUGUAAAGUUUUCCUUUAGUACCCGAAAUAUUGGGGUGGGGUUGAUCCUACACAAGGGAUCCAAGUUUUUAUCGCUAUCGGACUCCUCGUCCGCCAUAGCACACAGCACAACUGCCGGACUCUUCCAAAAUCCAACACACACACACACAUGACAUUCUUGCCCAAUUGCUAGUUAUGUGACCAAGCCGUAACUCGUCCAAUGCCGUGGACACGGCUACCCGGAUAGGUUUUAACUCUGCAGAGAGUGUACACUUUUCCCACAAGUAGGGUACCGUAUCGCGAUCACCUUAGUGACGGUACGGAUCCUAACAAAGCCAUUACCCACCUUAGCUAAGACUGGCUAGCCCUCACGGAAACACCCAAGGGGUUCACGGCUCGUCCACGAGACCGUAACUGGGACCUAAGUCACCAAGAUCUUACUCCUUUUCCAUGGGCUCCCGUUGCUCACCAGCACCCCUGAGGACUAACAAUUCAGCUAGUGGGGUUUAUGCUAGGCCGUUGCCCAUACAACGGUCGAGUGGUUGCACGAUGGCGGAAUUAGGCAAGAUGACACAUCAACUCGGUCCUUAAUUACGACAAGAUGGAUAUCUCCCGACAUUGCUCAACCACCAAGGUACGAGCACAACAAACUAGCAUCCCACACAAGGAAUACCCAUCCAUCCUGUCUACACAUCCUUUUCCCUUGAACCCGAAAAGCCAUUUUUCUCACUUGCACACACACACGUUUAUUUUCCGAAAACACCAUGGUAAUAAUGAUUGCAGUUGAGUAAUAAAUUCCUAAGCGUUCUAGCAGUGGUUAUCAUCUAAACAGAGCAAGUCGUAUUUAGAGAUAAGCAUAGGAUAGCAAGGAAUGUUCAUAACAAUCAAGGGGUGGCUAUCCAACCAUGUCUUGCGAUGAAAUAAUAUGCAUUUUGUAAAACCGGCCAAUAGGUUGUGUUUGAAAAACUAGGUAUUAAGUAUGCAUCAAAGGGUGAGAUUGGACUUGCCGUCUUCAAAGCCUUCCGGGAGUUCCGGCUCGCGGUACUGGUCCUCGGGCUCGGGCUCGCGGUCAAACUCCUCCUCGGGCUCCUCCUCGGGUAAUUCGCGAUCUACGGCACACACAAACAGACACACAAAUAAAUAAAAGAGGAAACGGUUUUUAACCGUGAGCUCCGAACAGGAAACGUGAACGGAAAAUAGGUAGAAGGAUUAUUUUUGGGAAAUUUGGAUAUAGAUCGGCGGAAGUAUUCCUGAAGAUGACGUGGUGAAAUUUGGGUUUAAUUGGAGGAAGUUUGGCGCAUGAAAUGACGGGUUAAACAUGAAUUAGGGGCUUAAACGGAGGUUUAGGACUGAUUUAUAAUAAACCAGGGACCUAUUUGUAAAUACUUUUGGAGGUGGAGGGGCUUAUCUGUGAAAAGGCUAUGAGAGAGAUGGGGGAUCUAUGUGUAAUUUGGGGAAAGUUGGGGGUCAGAUCCAAAAUCUGGGUAUUCUUAUCCUCUUCUCCAGGAACUUGGAGAGAGGGAGAGUGGGGAGAGGAUAGGCCGGCGGCCGGCCGGCCGGGCUUCGCCGGCGGCGAGCCGUGGGCGGAGGGGCGGUGGAGGGAGUUGAGGGGGCCCCAUUUUGCCUCACCUCGGGCAGGUGGCGUUGGAGGAGUGGCGGGGCACCGGCGCCCGUGGGGCGGCGGCGGCGGCAGGGAUGCGGCAGCGGCGGAUUGGCGACGGGCGGCACAGGGGUGGAGGUGGCGAGCUGGGAGGGGAAUGGUUUGGCAAGGGAGGCCGGUCGUGCCCCUAUUUAUAGGCCGACGGGGUGGUGACCGGAGGUAGGGGCCGGUUACUGGCCGGCGGCGGAAGCUCGGCGGCCACGGCACCGGUGGCAUGCCGGGCAGGAGGUAGGGCCGGCGAGGCGGCGUGGUGCGGGGCCGAGACGGCCGGCACGGGAGGGCGGCGUGCGGGACCGGGGAGGCCGGCGCCGGAGUGGAUGGCGCAGGCGGCCGGGGACCGGACUGGGCGCGCGGUUCGAGGGAGGCAGCGGCGUGGCUGGCGCCGGGACGGGCGACGGGCCCCACACGCGGGGAGGCCGAGCGGCGUGGCGCCAGGAAGAAGGAAGAGAAGGAGAGAGAAGAAGGAAGGAGGAAGAAGAAGAAAGAAGGAGGAGGAAGAAGAAAGAGCGGCGUGGACUUACUUGCAAUUUCAGCCAUGGCAUCGAGACAAUGCUCUUCCCACAUUCUAUCACGUGUGGAAGCAUGUGCGGCCCGUUCGUGGCAAUCCGGAUAGGUGCUACAGGGCCUACACGAACGAGUUUGAUGUUCUCACGCACUACCAGGUAAUUUGCUAACCAUAGUUUUUUAAGCUAAUUUGCGUAUAAUCGUAGAUGAAAUAAGUAUUGCGUGAAAAUUUUUGAAGGUGGAGUGGAAAUCGUAUGACCGUGAGCAGCUUAGCCAUAUCGUCUUUUCACCGACGUGCUACAGAGACAGAGAGCUGUGGAGGUGCACGACCCCAAUGAUAUUGUACUACGUGGUAGAGUUUCAUAUGCCGCAUAGGGUGAUGCGGCAGUUUGGGAGGAUGCAACCGUGCCCUCCUUUGGAAUUAUCGACUUCGCAGCAGCUGCACAGGUACGCAGGAAUAAAUAACUAUUGGAGGCUAUUCAAUUAACGCAAUUAACAUGUUAUACUAAUACUUCACUAAUUUCUGAUGCAGUAUCGACCGCAGAAAGCGGUACAAGGAGAAUGAUUGGAGGUUGAAGCAUGGCCAGUACCUCCUCCUGUGGCAGAACAAGCAAGGAUGCGAUCCUGAAGGUGGACCGUACUGGCGACCAAACAAUGAGUACAUAAGAUGGUACUGUACUUCGACGAGAACCAAAGUGAAACCAUCUUGGACUAAUGUGCCCAUUGAGGAUGCACCGUCUGAUGAUGACGCUGACAUAGCUGACGCGUACGACACGGUGACACGCCAUGGGACACAGCCUGAGCGUGCACCUCUCCACGACUACAUGGUAAGAUUUCGGUUUGUAAUUAUAGUAUCGUCACAUUGAUCACUUAUGGAAUGAAAACUCCUGCGUGCAGGGACAGCAGCUUGCAAGGCUCUCAAACGAGGCGGGCGUGAUUAUGGAGCACGCUGUCGGGGAAGGUGAUAGUCUGCUUCGUGCUUUUGCAGAGGUAGAAGCCCAAACUAAUUUUCACUUAUACUCGUACUAUCUUUGUAACCAUCAAUAACAUAGUCGUGAAUAUAUGGCAGAGGGUUCGUAAAAGUUGCAGGCGAAUGGCUAUGAGGAUGAACUGCAUGACAUCCUCAGAUGCGCACGACGGGGGCAAUGUCCAGGGUACUUCUUUAGGAUCACGUCGGACUGCAUUGGCGACUACCCCCAGGGCUGCAACACCGUCCACUGCGGCAGGUCCUAGCAGGAGAUCGCGAGGUAAGGAACCCGCAUCCCCUCAGGAAAGCGAGGACUCUGAAGGUGAGCAGUCUGAGGAUGAUGACCCUACGUAUGGUGAGGAACUCGAGAUUUCUCACGAUGCUCCACCUGUGACUCAGACGCAGGGAGAGUCCAGCCAGGUAUAUUCACAAGUUUCUCCAAAUUCAAUUAUACAUUUUAAUGUUCGCUCCCGAAGUGUCAUACAAAUUUUAUGAUUUGUGCCCAAUUAUUUCAUAGGAACCUACAACUCGUACCCGGUUGCCACGCCGGCGUCAUCGUUCCCGGGACCACAUCGACGUUGGCAGCGCCAAUGUGCUGCCCACGCAUCCAAGGAGGGAGCGUCGCCCAAGAGAUCCUUUUAGCCCUCCGGAUGAGCGGCGGUCACGACACUGAACCUAGCAUGUCCCAAGACUUUUGGAACCAUCACGUGUGUAAAAGACUAAGUUGGUUGUUAGGUUUAUUCAUGUCACGUUUGUAAAAGACUAAGUUGGUUGUUACAUUUUUUUUAUGUCCGUACAAUGUUAUAUGUUUGCUCCAUGAUGUACUUGUAGUUCGUGUAUUUUUUCGUAAAUGUUCAGAACAAAAAUACGUUUCGGAUUGUGCAGCGCGGUCCUGACGCCCCACCCUCCUAGGCUGAAACCUACUGAAAGGUUACUAAAAUUGACGCCCCAUCCCCCCCGGAAACCUACUGACCCCCCGCCCGAAACCUACUGAAAGGUCGUUGCGUUUGGCGCGGCACCUGACUCCUGCCGCGCCAGGUGGCCUGGCGCGGCAAGACCCCCCCCCCCCCCCGACCGAAACCUACUGAAAGUUUGGUGCAGUUGGCGCGGCAACUUCCUCCUGCCGCGCCAGGCCGGUUGGCGCGGCACCUUACUCCUGCCGCGCCAGGCCGCCUGGUGCGGCAAGAGUCCCCCCCGACCGAAACCUACUGAAAGUUUGGUGCAGGUGGCGCGGCACCUCAAUCCUGCCGCGCCAGGCCGCCUGGCGCGGCAAGGACCCCCCCCCCCCCCCCCCCCCCGCCCGAAACGUACUGAAAGUUUGGUGCAGUUGGCGCGGCACCUCAGUCCUGCCGCGCCAGGCGGCCUGGCCCGGCAAGGCCCCACCCGAACCCUUGUGGCGGUUCGUUUUGUUUGCCGCGGGACGGCCCCCACCAACCGAACUUUCAGCGGCAAGCCCCCUCCCCUGCCACCAGCGCAUUUCUGCUUCGCCAGGCGGAGUGGCGCAGCAAGCCCGUGGUUAGGAUAGAGAAUAAUAUUUAUUAGUAGGCCCGGUAAUUCUGGCUACAUUUAACACAAGGCACAUGGUACUGACAAGACGCCCACAAAGUGUUCUGCAAUAGGAUUAGAUCAGACCGGUGCGCAAUCAUGGAUAAGAAUAACACACACGUGCAUUAAAUGUUAGGGGUACGUAUUUCCCCAUUCGUACUUCGUCUUCUACUAUUAUUGCAUCACAAAUACCUUCAAGUACACCCGCUCUACCAGCGCUAUGCCUUCCUCCUCUUCCACCGCCCACUCCUCCUCGUCCUCCAUCCAAAUCAUCGAUCCCAUCGAAGCUACUACUAUUUUUUUCACACUCUAGCGCUGACUACUAGCUCGGAGAGGAAACUUUGAUGCGUUUGGACAUAGUUCUCUCGGAAAUGAAAAUAGUUUUUGACAACUAAUUGUAGUUCCCAGAAUAAACAUAAACAUAAUUUUCUCAUAAAAGAACAUAGUUUUCACAGCUACAGAGAAACAUGAUCCAGCUACAUCAACACGUUCAUCUAGUCCGAGUCACCUUCAUAUAGUAACUCGUCGUCAUCAUCAUCAUCAUCAUCAUCAUCUCCGGCAACAACAACUCCCUUGCGUUUCUUAUCGACAUUAACCUUACCAACAGGUAAAUCGGCAACAAGAGCCUUCAUCGUCUCCAUCUGUGCCUCUUCCGCUUUUUGUUGUAACUCUUCCAUUUCAAGCCUUCUUUUUCUUGCCCUAACUUUCUGCAAAUAUUGUUCCCAUGAACCCUCAGGGUAUUUCACAUUCGGAUCAACCACAUAACCUAAGCGAUCUCUUUCCUCCCUCAACCUUUGUUUCUCCAACUCCCUCUCCUCCUGCAACUUUCUCCUAUUUUCUCUCCUCUCAUUUUCAGUUAGAGGUCGUGGAUACUUGGAUCUAUUUUGCCUCCAAUACUUAAUAAUAGUUUCCCUUGCAUAAAGUCCUUUAGGUUCCACUCCAGUCUCAUGCACCAUAUCUUGAUAUAUUUUCCCCCAAAGCAAGUCGUCGUCAGGAAUAGGCACAUCAUACUUCUUCCUAAUCUUUUCUUUAAUUUCUUGUUGUUUCCUUGACUUCCAUGGUUCCGAUGUAUUUCCCAACUUUAAUAACAAAUCAUAUCGACCACAAAAAUCUUCCCAAUCACAUGUCCUUCCCUCCUGCAACAACAAUUCAAUAUUCCUUACAAAUUUGAAACAAGUUACAACCUUCAUAAAACAUAAGAGACGAGUAGUUACUAACCCAGUAAUCGCCAUGUGCAUUUCCACAGAACGAACCAUAUCCAAGUUCAGAAGGCACCACACCUUCUGUUGCCAAUAUACCACACUUGCAUCUAUCACUAGGAGAGGACACACAUGGCCACGGUGCAUUUUCACUUUCAAACUCCCGCACUUCCUCCUCUGUUGGCCACAUUGCCAUUGGGCCGUAUAUAUACUCAUUGAAAUCACACAACGGCCACCCAUCCUGCAAAAAACCCAUGACGUGAACUACUCAUAUGUAAAGUAACUACAAAACGCUGCUCCAACUUCCAAGCAAUAACAUCAAGUUAAAGUAUGAACAAUAUACUGCAAAAUUAUAACUGCUAGCUAAACGACAUACUAAUAUUCUCGUAAUAUACUUACAUGAGUCUUUAGGGAGCAUCGAAAGAAUGGAGUAAACUUAGGUGGAUCCCCUAAGUUAGGACGCAUAAGCUUAGCAGGAACACCACACUUGCACAUGGGAGGAUCCCUCACACGCCUACAAGCAGCCUCCUGCUUCUCCUCCUCGGUCAUCCUAGGUGGGUUUGGUGGAGGAGGAACCCAACGCCUAAACUGAUGGUAUGGUUUAAGCUCUGUGCUAUGAUAUGUGAAUAGGUGGAUCCUAGGAUCAUAUUUGUCGGGUCCAUCGAUCCACUGAAAGAAAUCACAAGGUGCGGCAGGCAGUGGAUCAAAAGUCCAUUUGCAUACAUAGAAGGCUCUUCCGGCUGUCUUUGGAUGCCUUGAUUGUUUCACCUCUGCUUGCGCGCCACAUCUACAAAGAGGUACCGGAAGGGCAGGAGGUACGGGACCAGCACCAUUGGACUCGCCCACAUAACGCACAUACCACCUACGCCGUUUGUAUUCACAACCAAACAACGCCAUCUCACCUGGAAAUCAAGUGCAACAAAUUUAAUACACAAAUAAACUUUACACACGUAAUCCAUACUAGCUAUAUACAUCAUUUUGAUAAAAUGUAAACACUCGAUCUACAAAAUACAAACACUGAAACAAAAAUGAGACUAAUUAAUUGAAGAUAUAAAAAAAAUACAUGUCAUGUAAACCACACAAUUGGAUGAAUAUAUACCUAAAUCGAAGCAUUCAACAAGUUCUACACGUCAAUAUCGCGGGCAGAGACUCAAUUGCGUAUGAACUACGUAUCAUCUAACACAAAACACCAUUGCAUUUCAUUGAAAUUUCAAAUCACUAACCUAACCCUAAGUCACCUAAACAUCCUCCGAUCUACCAAAUGCAAUGGUAAAACACGAGAAUAAGUAGGGGAAUACCUUCCACACGAAGUAGGGAUCGAUUUCCACUACUUUCCCCCACCAAAAACGCCAGAUUUUGGGUGGAUUUGGGGGUGGGGCGGCGGGGGCUGGCGUUGCAAGGUGCUGCUGUGUGGUGUGUCUGGAGGAGGAAGAAAGGAGGGAGGGAGGAGGAAGGGAGCCGGCGCGUCGAUCUAGUGCCGGCCCUGCCGCGCCAGGCGGGCUGGCGCGGCGAACGCCCCGCCCACGUCAGCGCCCACCUGGCGCCGCGACUCGCCGUGCCCGUGCAUGCGGCGCGGCAGCGUGUUCCUGCCGUGCCAGGCGGUCUGGCGCGGCCAAAAGGGUCACGCCGCGCAAAUUACACCCGGGUGAGGUUAUUUUUAAAAAUAAAGAAAAAAAGGGUUAAAAAUUAAAAAAAGUUCACUCAGAGAUAUAUUGUCUCAAAUAGUAAGCAAGAAUGAGUUUGACCAGUUGUAGUCGGAAAAUUGGGAGACGCUGCAGCUCAUAUGCAAAAUGAGAGACUACUUAAUUGGCAAGAGGUAACCAGAAAUACUUUCUUGUACUAUAAUAAUUAGCCAGUUCAUCUAGCUAUGGCAAUGUUGUGAGGUCUUUGUCAAUCACAUGAGCUCACCUAAUUUAUCGGCCAUUUUACGAUUGUAUUUUACGGACCCAUUCGAGCACUACGGGAAACCUCAAAGUCGCCGAGUGUAAUUACUUCACCGAGUGCAUUUUUUCGGGCACUCGGUGAAGGACCUUUUUGCCGAGUGUAAUAUCAAAAACACUCGGCAAAAAUCAAACACUCGGCGAACGACCGGUUUGCCGAGUGCCACCCAAAAAACACUCGGCAAACAUCCAAGAGACACUCGGCAAAGUUGGACACUCGGCAAACUGACGACCACGUGACUUCCCCGUGCCGCCGCCGGCAGCCCUCCGUGACGGACGUUAGUCUUUGCCGAGUGUCAAUGGAGGGCACUCGGCAAAGGCACUAGUUUGCCGAGUGUCAUGAUGGGACACUCGGCAAAGUGGCCUGUAUGCCGAGUGCUAGGGGGCACACUCGGCAUACUAUAGGGUUUGCCGAGUGUCUUUUGACACACUCGGCAAAAAUAAUUUUUUUUCCCUCCUCCACCCUCCAAACUUUUUACACUCCACAUGUAUGGCAUUUGGCACUGCAUGGUAGAAGAUGGACUAUUUUUUGACCUGUUUGCUAUAUUUAAUCAAUUAAUUUCAUUUAGAGUAAUUUUUUGAUUUAAGUCAAAUUUGAACUGCAGGUGGUUGGAAUAAUGGAAUAACAUGAGUGGAAAAAUCAUAUUCAUGUUAGUGAGUCCAAAUUGAGGUCUCACCCAGAAAAUGAAAAGAAAUUUCGAACAUUUUGCUAAGGAAACACGACUACGAACGUGUGGCCAAAUGAUUGUUUAAUUCUCAAAAAUACAAACGAAGUUUGAAAAUCAUGAGAUUUUGCAAGAUGCUAUGAUUUCGUAUGCAGAGGCUGUGGUAAAAAAUUGACAAGGUUUCGCACAAGUUUUGACAUAUGAUGUUUAGAAUUCGAAGCAUCUACCGAGAGGAUUCGUAGAAGUUGAAAGGAUCCGGUAAGAUUUUGAGACGAAUCGAUACAUGUAUUUUUCAUUGAGUCCAAUCUUUUUUAUAGGCUAUAGAGAACAUAGAUUGGUUCAUGUCAAAUUUUGGGAAUUUUUCAGAUCCGUUUGGUAAUUUUUAUUCAUUAAUUGCAUGUAUAUAAAUUUAAUAGAUAUAAAUUUAAUAUGAGCUAUAAAUCCAUGAAAUGAUGGAACAAUAUUACUUAAAAAAUGAAAUACGCAAUGUUUAGUGAAUUUGACUAGGUUUUUGCAAACUUUACAAUCUUUUAAUUACUAAAACUAGUUUCACAUGAAAUAAUAGUACUCAUUUGCCGAGUGUCAAGGGAUGGCACUCGGCAAAGAGCCUAUUUGCCGAGUGUCCAAUUUGGGACACUCGGCAAACAUCGCCGCGGUCCACCUGCCAGCCCCCUGCGAAAUCUGAAUAAAAAAAUUAAAAAAAAAUGUUUGCCGAGUGCUUAUGAUCUAGCACUCGGCAAAGGCUUUGCCGAGUGCUAGAUCAUAAGCACUCGGCAAACAUCGCCGCGGUCCACCUACCAGCCCCCUGCGUAAUCCGAAUAAAAAAAUUAAAAAAAAAUGUUUGCCGAGUGCUCCUGAUCUAGCACUCGGCAAAGGCUUUGCCGAGUGCUAGAUCAGGAGCACUCGGCAAAGUGGCCUUGGCAGCACUUAGCCACGCACGCACACGCCCGGCCACACGCACGCACGCCUUGGCAGCACUUAGCCACGCCCGCAGCCGCCCCGGCCCCUGCGCCCGCGCCGCCGCCGCCGCCCGCCCGGGCCGGGAUAAGGCCCCGACCUCCCCUGCGGCCCCGGCCGGCCUCCCCUGCGCCCCCGGCUGGCCUCCCGCGCCGGCCCCCCACGGCCGUCCUCGUCCGGCCGUUCGGCCGCCGCACCGUCCCCCGGCCGCCCCUCCGGUAAGUUGAAAAUAUUAGAGAAUGCAUGAUAACAUUGCAAAGAAUAGAGGAAGAGUAGAAAUUAGAAAAUGUUGAUUCUUCCUUGAAUGGAAAAAUAUUAGAGAAUAGAGGAAGAAUAGAGGAAGAAUAUUAGAGAAUAGAGGAAGAAUAGAGGAAGAAUAUUAGAGAAUGCAUGAAUGGAAGAGAGGUGUGGUUGGUAAUAGAGAAAAUGUUGAUUCUUCCUUGAAUGCACGGUAACAAAUUAGAAAAUGUUGAAAAGAAUAGAGGUGUGGUUGGUUGUGGUUGUGGUUGUUGGCCAUCGUGCCAACUCUUUGGUGAGAUUGUGGUUGUCGGCCAUCGUGCCGUUUCUUAUGUUGCAGGUUUUGGAAAGCUCCCCGUGCAGGGGAGAUGCUGCCGAAAUUUUGACUUAAACAAUGCUUUGUUUCUUUUGUUGCAGGAGAGGCUUACAAGGACCGUCCUCGACUCGUCACUUUGCAGGAUAGCAAGGUGAGGCAUGCUACACCUCUAUUUCCGUAUAAUGUUUGUAUAUCACGUAACCUAGUUAGGCGUCUCCCGUUCGAAAGAGAUACGGUUGGAAAUAUGCAGAUCUUUGCAUAUCUAUAAUCGUAUCUGUUUCAAAUUGUCCACGUUUUUUGGACAGCCCGAGGAUGUGUAGGUGGGUUUAGUAUCCACGGUCUACUCCGACCCGAGAUAAAAUUUCGGCAGCACCUCCCUGUUGUUCUCUAGAUACACAAUCUCCUAUCAUGGACGUGUAUUUGGAGAACAGCGGGGAGGUGCUGCCGAAAUUUUAUCUCGGGUUGGAGUAGACCAUGGAUACUAAACCCACCUACACAUCCUCGGGUGGGAUUAGGACCUAUCUUUACCUAGUAGACAAUAUAGGAAUGUGUAUAUGCAAUGUGAAUUUUGUAUUACUUAUUUAAAUGGUAGAGGAUGGAGGAUCGUCAGUGGAUGUACACGGGUCGCACUAGUCAGAAUACGUUGACCAAUGAAUGGCUUGACAAGACGGAUGCUUUCUUGGAACGGGCGUUUGCAAGUGUCAAUGGAGCUCGAUCGACUUGGUGUCCGUGCAGCAAAUGUGGAAACAUGCGUCGGCAAACCAAGCUAGACAUGGGCAAACAUCUGGUGAAGAACGGAUUUACGUCAGACUACACCAGGUGGAUCUACCAUGGUGAAUCUGACCGUGGGAGAGAGGAGGUCUUGAGACAACGCAUCGAGGAAUUUGAUGAUGAUGCCGGGGUGGGAGACAUGUUAAAUGACUAUCAUGAAGCACACUUCGAAGAGGCACGUAGGGAGGAGGAGCCAGAGGCUACCGCUAAGGCUUAUUACGAAAUGUUGUCUGCGGCACAGCAACCCCUUCACGGCCAUACCAAGAUUUCUCAGCUAGAUGCCAUUGCACGCCUAAUGGCUGUGAAGUCUCAGUUUAGUUUGAGUCGAGACGCGUUUGAUAUUAUGUUGACAGUUUUUGGAAGCCUGCUCCCGGUUGGUCACAUCUUGCCAAAGAGCAUGUAUGAGGCACAGAAACUCCUUCGUGCACUUAAGAUGCCAUACGAGCAUAUACAUGCUUGCCCGAAGGGAUGCAUCUUAUUUAGAAAAGAGUAUGCGGAAGCAAAAUACUGUGUGAAGUGUGAAUCGUCUAGAUUUCUGGAGGUUGACUAUGGUGACGGUCAGAAAAAGCAGCUCGCAAUUCCUGUGAAGGUUCUACGGUAUCUUCCUUUCAUACCGAGGAUCCAACGGCUUUUCAUGACUGAAGAAUCCGCGAAACAGAUGACAUGGCACAAAAAUAGCCGUUGCUAUAAUCCUGAGAAGCUGGUACACCCAUCCGAUGCUGAAGCCUGGAGAAGCUUUGAUGCGAUUUAUCCUGCAAAAGCUCUAGAGGCCCGUAACGUACGCAUUGCGUUGGCAACUGAUGGGUUCAAUCCCUAUGGAAUGGCGGCCGCCCCGUACACCUGUUGGCCCAUUUUCGUUAUCCCCCUGAAUCUCCCACCCGGCGUCCUAUUUCAACGACAUAAUAUAUUCUUGUCGUUGAUAAUUCCAGAGCAUCCGGGGAAUAAUAUGAGUGUGUAUAUGGAGCCUCUGAUUGAUGAUUUGCUCCGUGCUUGGGAGGAAGGGGUAUGGACCUAUGACCGAUCCACAAAGACAAACUUCAAGAUGCAUGUUUGGUACCAGUACUCACUGCAUGACUUGCCGGCAUAUGGGAUUUUCUCCGGAUGGUGUGUUCACGGGAAGUUCCCAUGCCCAAUAUGUAAAGCAUCUUUGAAGUUCAUUUGGUUGUCGAAAGGUGGCAAAUAUUCUUCGUUCGACAAACAUCGACAAUUCCUCCCUCCUGACCAUCCAUUUAGACGAGACAUGAAGAAUUUUACCAAAGAUGUUGUAGUUACAGCCCCCGCACCACCGAUGAUGACAGGGGCCGCAGUUCGUGCUCAGUUAGACGCUCUUGAGUUCAAUAAUGAAGAAGGUGGUUUUUUGGGAUAUGGCGCGCAACAUGCUUGGACGCAGAAGUCGUGCUUGUGGAAGCUUCCCUAUUUUGAUGAUCUCCUUGUUCCACAUAACAUUGAUGUAAUGCACACGGAAAAAAAUAUCGCCGAGGCAAUUUUUGGUACAAUAAUGGACAUUCCUGACAAGACAAAGGAUAACGUUAAGGCUAGAGUGGAUCAAGCGACAUUGUGCAACAAACCACAGCUAAACAUGGCGCCUCCAAGAGCUGGCAAGUCGUGGAGAAAGCCUAAGGCCGAUUUCAUUCUGACGAGGGCCCAAAGGAGGGAGGUUCUAGAAUGGUUCCAAACAUUAAUGUUCCCUGAUGGCUAUGCAGCGAACUUGAAGAGGGGAGUGAAUUUAGCAACUAUGCGAAUCAACGGGCUCAAGAGUCAUGAUUACCAUAUAUGGCUUGAGCGCCUCCUUCCGGUGAUGGUUCGAGGCUAUGUCCCUGAGCAUGUGUGGCAGGUGCUAGCGGAGUUGAGCAAUUUCUUCCGCCGGCUUUGUGCGAAGGAGUUAUCUCGUACCGUGGUUGCAGAAAUGGAAACAAUGGCGCCUGUGUUGCUCUGUAAGUUGGAGAAGAUCUUUCCUCCAGGCUUCUUCAAUCCAAUGCAGCAUAUGAUUCUACACCUCCCGUAUGAAGCACGAAUGGGGGGGCCUGUGCAGGGUCGUUGGUGCUACUCAAUUGAGAGAUGUCAAAAGGUUCUUCGAACUAAAUGUAAGAAUAAGUGCAAAAUUGAAGCAUCCAUUGCAGAGGCAUACAUUCUGGAGGAGGUGUCAAACUUCACAUCGAAAUACUACGCUGACAACCUUCCUAGCGUGCAUAAUCCACCUCCUCGUUACAAUGCUAGUGAAGAUGAAUUAAGCCUUAGCAUUUUCCGAGGGCAACUCGGAAGUGCAAGUGGUGCGACCCUCAAGACCCUUAACCAUGAAGAGUGGCGCUCUAUCAUGCUGUAUGUGUUGACCAACCUAUCUGAAGUGGAGCCGUACAUGAUGUAAGUCAUCGACAAACUUGUUUCGACGUAUUAAUGGUAUCUCUUGCCUAAACGUAUCUUUCUUGUUGGUAUAGGCAAUUUCAUCGUCAAUUCUGGCAUAAAUCAAGGCAACCGGCCCCGCACGAAGCUGAGACUCUUCUUAAAGAGGGUGCGGGAAAUGGAAUGCCCGAUUUCAUUUCUUGGUUCAAACAGAAGGUACAAUUUCAUUUCUUCGAACAUUCUCGUUCUCGUCCGAUAUAGAUUUCAACCCAGACGACCCGUCCGAGGCGUACAGCCACCCUAGCAUACACAGCCGCGUCAGCGAGUACACAAAGAUGGCUAGGGAGGUUCACGGGCCAGACUUUGAUCCGAGCUCCGAGGACAUUGAUGGACAAAUCGUGAUGAGGGUGGGAGGAGGCAAGAAGCAUGGCCGAUAUUGGAUUGGCGACGGCGUCAUCGACACGGCCUCUACUCCCACUCUCUCCCAGAUUCGAGCUAGGAGCACGGACUCGAGCCCGGCGGUACGCCCAUGACCCACCGCUGCAUAGUUCCAGAUGGAGGCUCUACAGGUUCUUUCUCUUCCAUUCAUCGUUCGUUUGUUGUUGUACUUUAGCUUUGCAUUAUAACAUUGCAAUGAAAUAUUGUAGGCCCAGGUGGAAGAAUCAAGGAAGAAACAAGAGGAGAUGGCGGCGCAGAUGGAGGAAAUGCGGCGGAGGAUGAAGGAGGAAAACCGGAUUAGGAUGGAGCAGAUGUUCCAGUACAUGCAGAACUUUGCUUCGAGCAUGGGACAGUCUUUGCCUCCGCCACCGCCGAUGAUGUUCCCUCCGCCUCAGCCACCCACGACUACUCCUGUGAGUCACUUGACACAUUGUGCUUAAGAUUCAAUAGUUUAAAUUUGACAACUUUAGAUGUUACCUCAGAAUGUCCUAUCCUAUGUGCAGAAUCAAUCGGCGGCUUCGAAUAAUGAAGAUCAAGAUUUGUCGCAGUGGUCUCCUUGGCCUCCACGGAAGUAGACUUGGUUGUGAACAAUGUGGAAACUAAAUUGUGACAAGAACUUGGAUUUAUGGAUUAUUUCGUGCUUAUGUUGAAUUAUGCCUGUGAUGUUUAUGAAUUAUGCCUGUGGUUGUGAAUUAUCCAUGUGAUUGUUUAUUACAAAUGCCUGUGAUAUGUGUAUUGUGAAUUGAGAGGGGUCCGUUAUACGUGGCAAAAUGUCGAAAAAGGGGCGGUUCUGGUCACUUUGCCGAGUGUAACACUCAGCAAAGAGGGGCCUUUGCCGAGUGUUUUGGCCUUAACACUCGGCAAAGGGGCAUUUCCCAGGUGUAGGAAAGGUCCUUUGCCGAGUGUUUUGGCCUUAACACUCGGCAAAGGGGUAUUUCCCAGGUGUAGGAAAGGUCCUUUGCCGAGUGCUAUGGUCAAGGCACUCGGCAAAGGGGCAUUUUUUGCCGAGUGCUAUGGUUAGGGCACUCGGCAAAGGGGGCCGCUUUGCCGAGUGCCCGGGACCCGGCACACGGCAAAGGGGGCCGGUUUGCCGAGUGCCCCGUGGAUGACACUCGGCAAAGGUCCGGUCUUUGCCGAGUGUUGGCACUCGGCAAAGACCCGGUGUUUGCCGAGUGCCUCCCGUUUGGCACUCGGCAAACCCGCCGUUACCCCGACGCCGUCAGUCCGCAAUUCGCCGAGUACACCUUUUCGCUGAGUGUUUUUUGGCCGUCGGCAACAUGUUUGCCGAGUGUUCGAGUUUUGACACUCGGCGAACUAGUCUUUGCCGACCACAUAUGCAUUUGUUACAUGAUUCCUCAACCAAUAUAAUGCAUGCAGGUACUUCAUCUUGAUUGAUGAUAUCUGGAAUGUAUCAGAUUGGGAGCUUGUAGAAGCUGCCUUACCUCGCAAUGACAACGGAAGCAGAAUAAUUACUACAACACGCAGUAAAACAGUAGCCGAAACAUGUGCUGGUAUUGACGCACAAAUGUACAAAGCAAAGCCACUUGGUGAUGACGAAUCUCGCAGAUUAUUCUUUAAAAGGCUAUUUCACUCAACUGAACAUUGUCCCCAAGAUUUGAUGGCAGUAUCCAGUGAUAUUUUGAGGAAAUGUGGGGGAUUACCAUUAGCCAAAUCAGUAUAGCUGGUUUAUUAGCAAACAGAAGCCAAACCAAGGAAGUCUGGGUCAAUGCAUUGAAGUAUAUUUCUGCUGCAGUUGACAAAGAUUCUCACAUUGAUAAAAUGAAAAGAAUUUUUCUGCUUAGUUACUUCGACCUUCCUCUUCAUCUAAAGAGCUGUAUGUUAUAUCUGAGCGUGUUCCCGGAGGAUUAUGUGAUUGAUUGGAGCCGGUUGAUAUUGUUAUGGGUAGCCGAAGGACUGAUUCCUGGACAAGGCAGAGAAAAUAUGGAGCAGCUUAGGAGGAGUUACUUGAAUGAAAUUAGAGGCUUGGUCCAGCCAACCAAGGUUGGGGCAGAUGGCGCAACAGCGAAAGAGUGCAGAGUUCAUGAUGUCAUACUUGAGUUUAUUGUAUCAAAGGCUGUGGAGGACAAUUUUGUUACUAUAUGGAAUUGUAAUGGGUUUUCUGAAAAUUAUUCUUCUAACAAGAUUCGCCGUUUAUCUAUCCAAAAUGGCAUUUCUAGGCGGUCUAAAGAGAUGGAGAGGAUAAAAGAACAUGCAACUCAUAUUCGAUCAAUUAAUAUUUUUGACCCUAAUUCAGUGCUGCUAAUUAAAAACACCUCUAUGUUUUUAAGUAGCCAAGUCUUGCGAGUGCUGAAUACAGAAACUCAGGAUGAGUUACUUGAAGAAGAUUGCUAUCUUGGACAUGUCAAAAGUUUUGGUCAAAUGAAGUACUUGAGGUUAAAAUUUUGGUCAUCAAUAUGCCACUGCAAACUCCCAAAAGAUAUAGAAAAGCUGCAACAUCUAGAGACACUAGAUGUUAGGAAUACCCGCAUUAAAAAACUACCGGCUAGCAUUACCCAACUGCAGAGAUUAGUGCGUUUUCUUGUCAAUGCUGAGGUAAAACUACCUGAUGGGAUUGGAAAUCUGCAGGCAUUGGAAGAGCUAUCAUUGAUCGGGUUGAGUUUUCAAACUAUCAAGUUUAUCCUGAGUUGGAAUUUAUUGGGAGUACCCUUAUGCAGUAGUACGUCACGUGGACGUGGAAGUAUGUAUCUCGUCACUCUCCAAGCUUAUCACAACCCUUCGAAAACUGCACGUCGUGGAUGCUCCAUUCAUGUCUUCGUGUGGCUCUACUCCACCACCCCUUCGGAGGCUCAUCUUUUACGGACGUGGUGGACCAUCAAAUCAUCAGCUCAGCAGUCAAGGAUUCCAGCAUUUAUAGUCAAGUCUAAUUUCGUGUGUGCUGAUGAGGGGGUGUUGGAGUUUGAGCCAGGAGCCAAGAUUAAUUAUGAGCACGGGGUCAAGUUGUGGCUGGUGGCACGGGGUCAGUUCAAUUAUGAGCAAGGCGGCCUGGUCCUUGGGCUGCAGAAUCUGGCAGGCCUCAGACAUGUUGCUCUUACUAUUGACUGUGCGUGAUUUGGAGGAUGACAUCAGGGUUGCAGCAGGCGCCCAUCCCAACUGUCCCAUGGUCCAGCUGGUCAAAAAAGUACGUCAAGAUUGUAUGGCUCAAGGGUGCAGCAGGCGCCCACGCAACCAUCCCAUGCUAGAAGCACAAUGACCAAGUAAAUGCAUGGUGUGGAGAAUAAAUAUCAUUAUCAAUGAUGAUCUUUUUUUUCCUGUUUCAAGAGCACGUUGGAAUUAAACAAGGUUAAUUCGAUUUGUUUUCAUCUUAGUUUUUGCUUUAUGACAACAUGUGUGCGCAUGCAGAUUGGCCUCUCGGAUCUAUGGAGUGCUGAUAUGUGUUGCUUGAUAUGAUGGUGUUGUGUCGAGGUGGGUUUGGGAUGUGUGCUUGGAGCGAAGGCAUUUGCCCUUCGCCGGGCCAACGAUGCUGACACCUGUUGGUGCCACAUCCCUCUCUAUUGACUACGAAGGAGUGACUACGUUAAGCUCUUCCUCCAUAUAUGGAUUGUAGGUUGCUACGUAAUUUUGAGACGUAUGUUGAGUUUAAGAUCUUAUGUUGUUUAUCACUUACUGGAUCUCUUUCUUCUUUCUUUCUUUUAUAUUUCCUUUUGACAAGGUUGUGUGUUGUUGCAUAGGCGGCUGGAAUCUAAGCUUUCUUCAUCCAAAAGAAGAUUAUGUAAAACAACCAGAAAGAAACAAAAGGGGGGCGGUUAAUCUCCUUCUAAGGGGAUUAGGGUGGGGGGAUUUUGACUGGUAGGGGAUGUUUUGUAGGAGGAUGUGCACCACAACAUAAGUAACAUGGAAUCUGUGGGUACACUUUUGGCAACAUACCUUCAAACCACAUUCUAUGCAACAAUAAUCUUGUGCAAACCAUAUAUAGCUAUGCCCACCAUUUUUAGAACAAUGUUCAAUAGACUACCAUAUGUAUAUGAACGUGCACGAUGGAUAUUAGAGACAAAACAUAGUAGUAGUAUAACUUGCACAAAACUACAUUUAUGAUCUUUUGUAUUUGAGCCAGGAAGUUCUUUCAAAAGAUAACCCACAAGAAAGCACGCACUGGUCUUGUUGUGCACUAUACGUUAGGUGUUGCAAUUGCAUAUAAUCUGUUUUAUUUAGUUAGUUUGAACAACCGUGCAUGGCUAGGCACUUCCGAAAGGCUUCACUUCAAGUAAUUGUCAAACCAGUCGAUCAUUAGACCAAGAGCUUGCUCAGCAGUUUAUAUCUACAAGCAAAUCCAUGUGCAACUCCUGGAAAGACCUUGGCGUAGUAGGGAAUCUGCAAACAACCAAUGCCACAAAAAUGAGCUUUUCCAACUGAUAUAUAGUAUCCUCUAUGACGGAAUCACUAGGAACUCACCUCUGUUCUAUGACGCAAUACACUCACAUACUGGUACACUAGUUUUGGCGGUGCGACUUCGUCAUAUUGAGCUCCAAGGAUCUCGAUUGGACAUUUAACCUCUGUUUUGAAUGGUCAUAUAGUUAGCAUACGAAAUUAAGCACUUAAGUUCAGUUCCAAAGACAUCUCAAUCGAUGCUGUCUGGGAGGUUGCAAACACAAAGAAAAGGAGCAAACCUUUCAUGUCAUCAGUAGUCACAAUGUAAGGAUGAGAAAUGGAAACUACUUUAACAUCACUGGUUUUCCCCAUCUCUACACUAAACUUUCCUGUCAGUUACGCGGCAAUAGGAGAUAAGAAUUUUAUGCUCUGUAUGUUGCCUGAAGAAGGAUUUUGGAAGCUGGAAUUUCACUCACCACCCCAGCAAUAACCUCCCACCCCGAUGGACUUUCCUUCCUUUUUGAAAGCAGCAAAGAGUGGCUUGGCGUCUUUGGCAGCUUUUACCUGCCAGAUCGAUCGGAUACUCAAAUCAAUAUAUUUUCAACUCAUGAUGCAAUGAGCAUAAGAUGAAAUUUGAAAGGGACAUGGAACAGACCUGGGAGUGGAGCUUGAUCCACUCUGAAAUGUUUUUACUUGAGUCUAAAUAAUCUCCAUUGAAGAAAUCAGGCACCACAACAAAGUAUCCAGCCUCGCUAACUUUAUCGGCUAUCUGUCUGCAUCAUUAAAAGAUCAAGAAAGGGAUGAACAAUAGCUAGUACAGAGAGGGAUUCUUGCGUCGUUGUACUCCAAACAAAAUGCAAUCUAUCUCAUAUGAGAAUUAACUUUCACUGGAUUGUCUUUUUUUUGGAAAAAAAAACUGUACUGUAUUUUACUCUGUACAGAAGCACAAAGCAUUGUUAUGUUUUUUAAAAAAAGAUAGUCAAAUAAAAUUUGCUCUAGAUCUUCAAAGUCUCUAAAAUCAUUUGUUGAUAUUUAAAAGCAGUUUGCUAUGGUUAUGAUUGCGUUGCUACUUGCUACAAGCAUCAUAAGGGAGUACUAAGCAGGAAAAAUCGAAAGCAUGCCAGCCGAAUGAUCUAGUUCUUCAAAGUCUCUAAAAUCUGGAGAGAUGCUAGUUGACCAAGAACAGAGCAUCUUGAUCUACGAUAGUAAGCCAGAGUAGAGCAAGAAAGAACACAAAAUUUGGGAAUUAAAAGACCGUAGAUAUAUUUAUGUACCUGAGUAAAGGUGCCUCGAACCCUGAGGAAAUCAAUCAAAAAGUGGAGAAAAAUUUCCUGUCAAAACGUACGCCCAAAUUGACUAGAAACUGCAUAAGUGUAGUACUACGGUCGAAACACCAACCGAAAACAUCGGAGGCGAGGACGAUGGCGCGGCUUGAGCUUGCAGCUGAAGGAUUGAAAGGGCGAUAAAAGGAGGUGAAUGGGAGCCUAUAAAAAUUCUCAACAAGAAUAAGGCCUAUGUCCCAAAUGCAACCCCAAAGCACACAGCACGUUGUAUCGUCAAGAUGACGCAAGUCAACUCGUGACAAGCUCAUCCUAGGAAUGAUACACGUAUCGAAAGCAAAGUUCAAAGUGAUCCGAAUACGUGCUUGACAUGGCGGAAACAUAAAGUGACUCACAAUCAGAUUCAAGCAAGCCCACAAAAAACUUACUCAACUAAGCAUAAUUAGCAAGAGAGAAAACACAUUAGUACUCAAGCAAGUGAACAAGUAUUAGUUGGCUAAGUGUUAGGAUUAACAGAGGAUUAGAAAAGCUAAUUUAACACCGAACAACAAUGGAUUAGAACGGUGCUAUCAGCCAUGUGCAAGAACUAAUAAUGAUUACUCAAUGAUUUGAUCACUGUAGCUAGAAAGCAACUCUUCGUGGCACGAAGGCACUACCUGCUACUUGCGUUGCUUGCCUGCUCGCUGCUUGGCUUGUCGCCGUGCUUGCGGCCUGGUCUGGCCCGCGACGCAUCAGCUACUCCUGGGUCGCAAGCUCCAGACGGCCUGCUAGCGAUCAGCACCUGGGGCAGCCUGCCAACUCGCUGGGCUGCCGGCCUGCGAAGGCUGCUGGGCCGCUGCUUGCUUCCACCGGCCCGCGUGCCGCUCGCUGUGAACGGCCUGGCAGCAAGUGUAGCGCUGCUCCGUCACCUGCGCACCCGAACAGAAGGAAACGAAGAACAGAGAGAAGAACAGCAAGAACACCCAAGAACACACGUAACUUCGAAUCGUGAGAUCUCCUUCCGCACUCCACGCAUCAAGAUGAAACUUGACCCAAGGAUGCACUACCCUAGGAAAAAUAGAUCCAUGAGACAAAUCACGAAAAUCUCAAGUAUUCAUCGCAAAUCUUAGGGAAAAUCAAAACCCUAACUCAAACUCGGUUUUGGAAGAAACUCAAAAUUCAAGUCGGAUUCGUGAGAUAUAUGGAAGGGGAUCAUAUUAAAGAAGCUCCACGAAGUCCUAGCAACAUUCCCCUUUAACCAAACUCACGAGAUUCGGGCUCCAACAAGAUGAACGAAAAUUCUCAAAAAUGAGUCCAAAAAUAGGAAAAAAGAAAAACGCUCGGGAACAAAGAUUUUGCACGAUUUGAGACAACAAACCACACUAAAUCACGAGAGCAUCUUCUUUACAAAAGAGGGCUAGCCUCCUCCCUUCAUCCACCCACUAAAAGAUGAAAAAAUCAAGAGAAAAGAGUAAUCACUCUCUAAUCUCCCUCUCUCCUCUCACUUUAAGCACAUGACUAGCCUCUAAGCCAAAAGAUAAUGAGUUGCUAAGCAAAGAGGUGCUGAAAUAACCAGCCCCCCAUCCCUAUUUAUAGUCCAGGACGAAAGACUAUACUACCACUACAGCUAUAACUAAGAUAACUACCCACGCAGGGGCAUUUUGGUCCAAGUUUUUAUCUGCGCUAAGACUAUACUACCCCUAUAGCUACAACUAAGACUAUAAUGUUUUGCUUUUCGUGGUCGAAAAGAUUAGAUAGAUAUUUUGUACUGUAGUUGCUCAUCACUCCAAUUAUGUACACUUCUUCGCGCGUUAGGUCCCGUUUGGAUACCCUGCUAAAGUUUAGCACCUGUCACAUCGGAUGUUUGGAUCCUAAUUAGGAGUAUUAAACAUAGGCUAAUUACAAAAUUAAUUGCACAUAUGGAGUCUAAUUCGCGAGAUGAAUCUAUUAAGCCUAAUUAGUUCAUGAUUUGAUAAUGUGGUGCUACAGUAACAAUUUGCUAAUGAUGGAUUAAUUAGGCUUAAUAGAUUCGUCUCGCAAAUUAGCACAGGAUUCUGCUAUUAGUUUUAUAAUUAGCUCAGGUUUAGUCCUCCUAAUUAGCAUCCGAUCAUUUGAUGUGACACUGUUAAAAUUUAGCACAUAAAUAUCCAAACACCCCCUUAUUUCAUUUUUGAUCUUGGAGUCGCCGCUGCCGACCUCGAGACUGGACUAGGGUGGCUGGCUUAAUCCCACCCUGCUGGGAUCAGCCUCCAUGGGGGCGACAGAUGCCACUGCCUAGGCAUGGUGGUGGCUGUUGCUGUAGCCCAGCGUUUGCAGGUGUACUGUGUCCCUGACAAUAUGUGUGCGCAUGCAGAUUGGCCUCUCGGAUCUAUGGAGUGCUGAUAUGUGUUGCUUGAUGGUGUUGUGUCGAGGUAGGUUUGGGAUGUGUGCUCGGAGCGAAGGCCUUUGUCCUUCGCCGGCAAACGAUGGUGGCGCCUGUUGGUGCCAUAUCCCUCUCUAUUGACAACGAAGGAGUGACUACGUUAAGCUCUUCCUCCAUAUAUGGAUUGUAGGUUACUAGGUAAUUUUGAGACGUAUGUUGAGUUUAAGAUCUUAUGUUGUUUAUCACUUGCUGGAUCACUUUCUUCUUUCUCUCUUAUAUUUCCUUCUGACAAGGUUGUGUGUACUACCUUGUUACAUAGGCUAGAAUCUAAGCUUUCUUCAUUCAAAAGAAGAUUAUAUAAAAUAACUAGAAAGAAACAAAAGGGGGCGGUUAAUCUCCUUCCAAGGGGAUUGGGGUGGGGGAGAGGGGGAUAGGGAUUUUGACUGGUAGGGAAUGUUUUGCAGGAGGAUGUGCACCUCAACAUAGGAGGCGUUUGGUUCCCUUUGCUUAUUUUGAGCACGUGUCACAUCGAAUGUUUAGAUACUAAUUAGGAGUAUUAAACAUAGACUAUUUACAAAACCCAUUACAUAAGUGGAGGCUAAAUGGCGAGACGAAUCUAUAAGCCUAAUUAAUCCAUCAUUAGCAAAUGUUUACUGUAGCAACACAUUGUUAAAUCAUGGACUAAUCAAGCUUAAUAGAUUCGUCUCGCAAUUUAGCCUCCACUUAUGUAAUGGGUUUUGUAAAUAGUCUACGUUUAAUACUCCUAUUAGUAUCUAAACAUUCGAUAUGAUGGGUGCUGAAAAUAAGCAAGAGGAACCAAACCAGGCCAUAAGUAACAUGGAAUCUAUGGAUACACUUUUGGCAACAUACCUUCAAACCACAUUCUAUGCAACAAUAAUCUUGUGCAAACCAUAUAUAACUAUGCCCACCAUUUAUAGAACAAUGUUCAAUAGACUACCAUAUGCAUAUGAACGUGCACGAUGCACUACGAGAAUGUCCAAGUUUGCCGUGUGUCCACGGCACACGACGAAGCCAAAAAAACCUCAGCAAAGCCUUUGCUGAGUGGGCAUACAUAGUGCCGGUAAAAAUUUCUUUGCUGAGUAUUUUUUAUCGGGCACUCAGCAAAGACUUUUUUUUUAAGAAACAGGAGGGGGAGACCCCUACUGAAUUUAUUAAAGAGCUAAACAACAAAAGGGUCCAAAUACAAAUCAAGACCGAGAGAUCAAAAAUAAAAUAAAAAAGCAAGAACCAAAAGUAAGAACUGGGAACAACAUUUACAGGGAAUCUACCAAGCUAACAUAAGUGACUGGAUCUGGGUCUUGGCCCUAUGAAGAGCUACCAUGCGAAAUUCCGAGACAAAUUUCCGUUUGAUGUUCCUGAUCAUCGGAGCAGAAUUAUUGAAGAGCAGACUUUGCCAGUGCUAAAAUUGACGCUCGGAAAAAAAAAGCAACAUGACAGUGCGAAAACGGUCAUGCCACGUUUGCCGAGUGUCUAAUGGCAUGGACACUCCACAUGUUUGCCGAGUGUCCACCGAAAAAAUCCUCGACAAACAUGAGUCAUUUUAGACUUUAGGCACAAUUUCCUAAAGGAACACCAGAAAUUUCACAUAAAUUUUCACAUUAGCUGUGUAAAUAAUAGCAAAGUUCUUGCAAGGUGACCAUACUUGCAAGGUAUGCUCGUACAAGUUCAAAUUUGUUGUAAAUCUGCAGUUACAGUCCGAACAUAUAAUGACCUGAACAGCAAAAAGAUCUGCCUCGACAGCACCAGGGGAGGUGGGAGCUCACUCUUUACUGCUUAGCCUAAAUUUCAUAUAUUCCAGUAUAUUUUUUUUAUGGAAGAGGUAACAAUUUUCUUGUGGGAGAUUGUUAGUACAACUGAGCUAAUGGCAUCAUGCACGGUAGAAAAAACGGGGGGCCCUGGCGUGGCGUCCCUGUAGGAAAUGGGGAACGUGUGCCACGCCACACAUGCACGCGUGCGUGCUUAAUUUCAAGGGAAUCAAAUUCUGCACUCGUCCGGCUAGUCUCACUCUCACACCCGACCAUCAUCAGCGAACUAAUGAAGCGAACUUUUCAAGGCCACGCACAUGUAUAAACCGCUUGAGAACACACUUGUACUAAUGAGUUCUCUGUCACAUGAUCCAACAGAUGGUGAUCUCGGCCACGACGAACGACGAUACGAUACACUCGCUACGGUACUACCUGCAGAGAUUCUUGACCUGCUGCCAUUCGUUUCUCGCGCUGGCACGCAGCCUGGUCGUGAUCCUGUGUGCUUUUGCUUGCAGAUGGCGGUUUGAGAUCCUGGAGAUCCAAAUCCUCUCCGCGAUUCUGGUAGUCGUAGGGAGGCUCAGGCUCGCGCGCGCGCGGGGCCUCGCCUCGCACGCCCCUCGAAGCGCGCACGCCAUUGUUGCGUCCCCGCGACUUCCACCGCAGGCAGGAGGGAGAGGGACCGAGGGAGUAGUGCCUGCACCAACUCCCUGGGGGCCGCGGCCAACCGCAGCGCGACGUGUGUCCACUCCGACACGGCGGGCGGGGAGGAGUAAAGAAACCGGGCAGCGCGGGCCACGACCCCACGAAACACCGACGAUUAGUUUAGGUCUUGUUGGAAGUGCCAAAUUAUUGUUACAGUACUGUAUCAUACUGUAGUAUUUCAUUUGUAUUUAUGAAUUAUUGUCCAAACAUUGACUAAUUAGUUUUAAAAGAUUCGUCUCGCAAAGUACAACAAAACUGUGCAAUUAGUUUUUAAUUUCGUCUACAUUUAGUACUUCAUGCAUGUACCGCAAGUUUGAUAUGAUAGGGAAUCUUUUUUUUGCAUAGUGUCAAAGUUGGCAGUGGAGGGUGAACUAAACAAGGGCUUAUAUGCGGCCGCUACGCUACGUACUCCAGCCGGGACAGAAGGAAUCCGGCCACACCUUCAAAAAAAAAAACCAGGAACCCGGGCACCGAGCGAGCCCUUGACCAAGUCCACGCGGUCCAGACAAGCCCACUGGCCAUUGGAAAAUUCGACCCCACAGGAAAUCCUAAGCGAUGUAAUCAUCCAUAUGUGGGUCCAAGACAUGAUUUUUUUGGCUGUGAACACUGCACAGCAACUCGCGAGAAUCUUUUCCCUCAGCCUUUUUUAUCUGUAGGUUUUGGGAGCACCGAGAGGAGGAAAAAUUGGCUUAAGAUGGAGUUGUUAUUGGGUAUGCGGAAAAGUAGGGAACGAAGUUGGACAACUGUUGGAGCUUUGGUUUUUCACCUUGGUUACCAAAACUAGUCAUUGAAAUCAUAUACCGGGCACUCUUGGAGAUGCUAUAACUGAUGAUCUAGUACAUAUAUCUUGAACAUUAUUUUUUUUUAAAAUCUGGUCGGUAGCAGUUAAACUAAUUGUCUAAACCAAUUAUCUAGUACCUAAACCAAUUAUUGUCUCGACCACCUAAACUAAUUGUUGUCUCUUGCACUGUAUCUUCCAGAUGGUAAAAGUAAAUAAAAAAAAUGAAAAUCGGGGUUGGUGGGGUAAAGUGCUCAUGAGACAAAGAGCAUCGUGGGAGGUGAGGCCGUGCUUUACAAAGCACUUUCUCGGGUCGUUCGCAUCUACGACUGUGAGGCCCUGAGAAUUGAAGCGCCCUUCCUCUCUGACACCACCACAAGCUAGCAGAGCUGUAGAGCCAGCUUCCCAGUCGAGAUGGCCGAACUGAUGGCGAGCGCCGCCACGAGCGUGAUGGGGUCCGUCAUCGGCAAGCUGACUGCCAUGCUCGGCGACAAGUACCAGUUCGCCAGAGACGUGGAGCAAGGGAUCCGCUUCCUGAAGGAUGAGCUGAGCAGCAUGGAUGCCGUGCUGCAGAAGCUCGCAGACAAGGACGACGACCAAAUG